rnacentral:lncRNA from 1 species
UUUUUUUUUUUUUUUUUUAAGGUUUUGAAAAUUUUCACACAAAAAUAAUAAAGAAAAAAAUUCCUAUAAUUUUAUUGUCCAUGAUUAAAUUAUAGAUGAGGAAAAUUUCUUAGCCCUUCUUCUCUCUUUUUAUAUUUUUUAAUUACAAUAUUUUUGCAUUAUCCAAAUAUAAUUUCUAUAUAUAAAAAAAAACAAACAUAAUUUAAAUAAUUAGAAAUUUAUUUUUGUUUAUAUUGACAUAUUAGCUUUAAUUUAAAUUUGAAAUAUGCUAUAAUUUAAUUUCCCUAUAUACAGUUUUUAGCUUUACAUCUCAACUAAAAUUUAUUCCAAAGCUUAUGAUGUGUAAAAAAAAUCUCAAAUUGUCUUAUGUUAUGAGCUUUAACAAACAAAUUGUCUUAUGUUCCAAACGUUUGAGUCAUCAUUUUCAAUUUAACAAAGUUGAUAAUAAUAAUAAUCACAUAGUACCUGUAAACACUACGAAAAAUACAUUACUAGACAUUGAUAUUCAUAACACAUUUCCAUAACCUAUGUUAAACUAGAUAUUACAAUAAGCAAAACACAUGCUACAAAGAAGCCAAUAAAGAAACUGAUUACAUAUGUAUAUGAAAAUAUUUUGCAAGGAAUGCUUAUCAUCAACUAUAUGUUUAGACUUUGGUUUGCCAGCUGAUGAACAUUCAUCACUUCUCUUCCAUCUUGGUGCAUAGAACAACCAAACUCGGACAACUUCCUCUCUAGAAGUAUAUGCUUUGUAAACACUCCCCUUAUAAAGGAGCACAUUCUUUUGACAUUCAACCCAAGAAUCGUACACUCCAUGUCGGUGACCCACAAACACUACAUAGUAUGUUUGCAUGUUCGUCAUCUGAUGACACAAUUGUUGUUGGUUAAUUUUUGAUAAUCAAUCAAUCAAGUAAUGACUAUUGCAAAAGAUAGUACAAAACGUAUAUAAUUCACACAUGCAUACCACAUUUUAGGAUAAUAAUAGUGAUGAUUAACUACAAAAUUCAAAAAAUAACCAUUAAUGUGUGGGAUUCAAGUUUUGAGGCUUCGAAUAGGUAGUACCCAACUUUAACUAAGGUAGUACCUAAGAUCAGUUAAGGUAGUACUGAAUGUUGAUUAAGGUGGUACCUAAAGGCUAUUAAGGUAGUACCUAAGGUACAAUCCCCAAAAUACCAAAGGUGAACCAAUUGAACAGACUAAAUAAUCACAUAAUGGGAUGCUCUAAGGGUCACAAAUGAUGGUCUAAGGCUUCGAAUAGGUAGUACCCAACUUUAACUAAGAUAGUACCUAAGGUCAGUUAAGGUAGUACCUAAGGUUGAUUAAGGUGGUAACUAAAGGCUAUUAAGGUAGUACCUAAGGUACAAUCCCCAAAAUGCCAAAGGUGAACCACUUGACCACACAAAAUAAUCACACAAUGGCAUGCUCUAAGGGUCACGAUUCCGAGGCUUCAGAUAGGUAGUACCCAACUUUAACUAAGGUAGUACCUAAGGUCGGUUAAGGUAAUACCUAAGGUUGAUUAAAGCGGUACCUAAGGUUAGUUAAGGUAGUACCUAAGGUUGAUUAAGAUGGUACCUAAGGGCUAUUAAGGUAGUACCUAAGGUACAAUAUCCAAAAUGACAAAGGUAAACCAAUUGAGCAUACUAAUUAAUCACAUAAUGUUAUACUCUAAGUGUCCCAAAUGAAGUAAGUAAUGUCCCUAAUUAAAGUUCCAAGACUUCGAACAGGUAGUACCCAAGUUUAACUAAGGUAGUACCUAAGGUACAAUCCCCAAAAUAACAAUACAACUUGCAACCGAAUAUGCUGUUAAGUUCCAUAUGGAUUCAAUGCGACUUGUAGGUCAUAUGGUUAUUUGAGAAUGAUAUGAUUUCCACAAAACACAAAAUUUCAAGUCCACUAACGACUCCAAAAUCGUUGAUGUGCUCUAUUUCAAACAAAUGAACUAAAGAACAAUAAAUAAAAAUUAUUUACCUUCAAAUUUCAAUUUGGGGUUAGGGCAAAAUGUGACUCAAUGACAAGAAGAGAUAUCUUGUUGACAAAGCCAAUAUUUUGGAUUCUAGUUUUUCGUUUGGGUACGGACUGUUGUAGUAAAUUCAUAAUCACAAAUGUGCCUCUUGAAGUCGUCUUUUAACCGGACAUUCUUAUGAUGGAAUGCUCCAUUUUGUUGCACUUUUAUGUGGACAAAAGAGAAACAUGUAUGUGGGAGUUGUGGAUUAAUGGUGUUUUUUUUUCUCUCAAAUAAGACAAUUUUUGGGAAAUUUUAGAUGGGUCUCGAGAUUGUGUGGGUGAUGAAGCUAAGAGAGAAAGAGAAAGAGAGAGAGAGAGAGAGAGAGAGAGAGAGAGAGAGAGAGAGAGAGAUGCUUCCAAAUCAAAGAGAAUAAAGGUUUCAGAUUAGGGAAAUAAUAGUUGGUUGUCGGGUCGAGUGAUUUUUCAUAGGUUUCAAAUUUAGAUUUUUUUAUUUUUUAAAUUUUCAGUCUCUCCUGUGACAUAGAGGGCUUGUUGCUAAUAUAGAGACAAGGUUGCAACUAACAAGGAGGCAUGGAGGCGCAAUUUAGGAACAUAAAAUGGAGUCAGCAAAAAGUGCAUGAGAAAGAUAAUAUUUUCCUUUUUGACAGUCAAAUCACAUAUUCUAGCUUAUUGGAGUUUGAUUGUCAUAUUACUUUCAAAUAGUUGGUUGCAAACACAACUUUCCCUUUUUUUUUCCUUACUCAAAUAUAGCAAUUUAAGAUAAAUAAAUAAAUGCAUAGCUGGAUGGGUACAUGACCCAUAGAGGAACCAGGACAUGACUAGUUGUUCAACCACUUGGCCUGUAAUAAUCCCAACUUGUCCUUCCAUGCCGUAAAAAAAAAUUUUAGAACCAUUUCUCAAUCUUGCUUUCUAUUGUUGUUGCAAAUAACUCAUCAAGAUUAAUUGGCAUUUCCAUAGGGAAAAAUGUUACAAGUACCAUGUUGUGACACACAUUAAUGCAUAGCUGAUCAACUAGAAUAUUAUGCUUCCUUGGAUAUAUUGUUGGAAGGGUGCAUGUGUGUUAAGAGUGAAAGAGUUUAAAGGUGUCAAUUCUAUAUUGAAAAUGGAUUGAAACGUUUUUCACUUUUAUAUAGUUUUUAAGUUCCUUAAUCUCUUGGGUUUAUGAACAGGGAAGUGUGAUUCGGUUUGUCCAUGGGACCUAAGUGUUAGAUUUUCCUAAACGGGUCCAGAAAUAUGAUUUAUAAUCUUCCAUCAAAUUUGGGAAUAAUGCUACACUUUCUUAUAUGGGUCUAAAAACGGGCUCAUAAUAUUAUGAAAUUUUCAUUGAUUUAGUUUUCCUUUUCAUUGUCAUCAAUAGCCAUAAAUUAUGAAAUUUGACUUUGUGAUGGGUAGAAUAAAUAUAAAUAGAAGCUUUGUAGUUAAGCCCCAUAAUCUUUGUGGUUAAGUCCCUAAACCUUCAAUCUUCAUUCAGACAUAUAUACAUCAUUGUUUGUGAUUGAUUAAGGGUUUAGAAGCACCUCAACCCAUUUUCAUAUCAAAUUUGAUUUCCGAAUUCCCAAAUAAUCAAUGGUUGGAGGUAUGUUUAAUUGUGUAAAUAUAAAGAGAAGCUUUGUAGUUAACAAUGAUGAAAAUAUCUGUAAUCACGGAUAUAUCAGUAUUUCGAUUUUACGAAAUAUCGGAUAUAUCAGUAGAUAUUUUGAAAUAAAAUAUUGGUAGACAUAAAAUUGAUCAAAAUUUAUAAAAAUAUAAAAUAAAACUUUUAGAAAUGAAAUUGAAAGUAUAAUAGACAUUUUAAAGUUGUUUUGUUGAAUAAAUUAAUGUAUAUGUAUAAUAUUCUACGUGUCAAUAAAAAAUAUAAAAUUGAAAGUGUAUAUUGAUUAUUAAAUUAUAUCAAAUAUUAUUUGAUGAUUAUAUUGUGAUAUUUGAUUAUAAUAUAUUUUGGUGGAUAUUUUAACACAAAAUAUUGUUAGACCUAAAAUUGAUCAAAACUUAUAAAAAUAUAAAAUAAAACUCUUAUAAAUGAAAUUAAAAGUACAAUAGACAUUUUAAAGUUACUUUUUUUUAUAUAAUAAAUUGUAUAUAUAUAUAUAUAUAUAUAUAUAUAUAUAUAUAUAUAUAUAUAUAUAUAUAUAUAUAUAUUCAUAUAAUAUUGUACGUGUCAAUAAAAAAUAUAAAUUUGAUAAGUGUACAUUGAUUAUUAAAUUAUAUCAAAUAUUAUUUGAUGAUAAUAUUGUGAUAUGUGAUUAUAAUAUGUUUAAUUUUAAAAUCUAUUUAAUAUUAAAAUUAUGAUACAUUAUAAAAUAAAUGAUGAUAAAUGUAUAAAUUUUUAAUAUUUAAUUAAUAUAUUAAUAAUAUUAAAAACACUAUGAAGAAAAUUAUGAUAUAUUUUUACUAAUCAAUUAAAUGAAAAUUUUUCAUUCAAUUAUAAAAUAGUUAUAAUUAAUUUGUUCUUUAAAGUGUUUUUUUUUUAAUAUUUUGUUUAUAUCCUAACUUUUGAUAUAUAUUUCUUUAGUGCAUAUUAUGCAUCAAAGGGUAAGCUUGUCCUAGUGGCGCCCUUUUGUUGGGGGUUCAAAUUCCCCCAAUAGCAGCAAGAAAAUAUCUCAAUUUUGAGCAUUGACCACCGAUAUAUCGAGACCCGCCAAUAUCGCGAUAUUUUCUUCACUGGUAGUUAAGUCCCAGAAGCUUUGUGGUUAAGUCCAUGAACCUUUAAUCUUCGUUCAGACAUAUAUAUACAUCAUUGUUUGUGAUUGAUUAAGAGUUUAGAAGCACCUCAACCUAUCAAAUUUGAUUUUCAAAGUCCCAAAUAAUCAAUGGUUGGAGGUAUGUUUCUAUGGGUCUUGAUUAUUAUUAUUUAUUUAUUUAUUUAUUUAUUCUCCUUUGGUUCCUUUUGUGUUCAUGACCUUCUUUUUUUUAGCCAAGAUCAAUGUUAAGAGGUCAAGUUUACAACAAUAAAAAAUUUUAAAAAAAUUGAAAUAUUUUUUAGAAAACAAAGGCUAUGCUUAGUUAAGAAAAACACUCAAAAGAGGGGGUGAAUUGGGUUUUUAAAAUCUUUUCAAUCACAACAAAUUCAAACACAAUAUAAGAAAAGUAAAGAGAUAGAGUUUAGAGAAUUCAAACUCGGGUUUAUAGUGGUUUAGCACUUCCUUGCCUACGUCCACUCUCCUCAACCUCUUAACCAAGUGAGGGUUCCACUAACUUGAAGUUUCAACCAAGCUUUCAAUCUUCUUACACUUGGAUUCCAGCUCCAAUGGGCUCUUACACAACCUCUUCAAGAUUCAACCCUCUUGAAGGCUUUAACACUCAGAUUUUUGCAAGAUAUAAUCCCUCAACCUAGCUUAAGGAUGACUUAAAUACAAGACAAAGCUAGGAUGACACACAAGAGUGCACUAAAGGAUAUGUAAGUGAUGAUUUAAUGCACUAUGAAAGAAAUGAGAGCUUUUUGAUCAAGAACAGGUAGGUAGGCUAUUGAAUGCAAGUGUUCUCUUGUCAAUAAAUGAAGUAGAGUUCUCAAUUUAUAGGUUUCUAAGCUCAGGAGUCAAAAACAGCAAAAGGUAACCUCAUCCGGUAGAGCUAGGGGUCGACCGGUUUACUAGCCGUUAGAGCAUUUAAUGCAUGAUAGGUUACCGUUGCCUCAAUUGGACCUCAACCGUUAAGAGAAACACCUCAACCGAGAAGAGAAGGCUACUGGGAGAGAGAGAGAAGGUUUUUGACCUCUCUCGACCGGAUGACCACAACCGGUCGAUCGGUUCCUCAACCGGUUGAGCCGGUUGGCCAUAACCUCGACCGGUUGAGCCUUUUUUACCCCAAAAACCUAUUUGUUUAAUUUCUUUCUUUUCUAACAUUUAGGCAAGGUCUUUAGGUAAAUUAUUAAGCCAAUUUUGAAACAUUUGGCCUAAGGUACAUUAGUUAAAAACUCGGGUUUUAAUGAAAUCGACGUUUUAAAGAAUAAACCGAGUUUUCAAAGAUGCAUGAAACAUGUGAAAAUCCUAAGUGCACUCAUGCAUUCAUCUUACAUUAGUUUCCUAUGAUCACAAGUCUUCCAAGCAUCUCGAUCUUGUAUCCAUUUGGUUCUUUGAUGAAUUUUUGAGUUUAUACCUGAGAUUCUUAAACAUUAAACCAAUUAGUCACUUAACCAUGAUUUGUUAUCAUCAAAACCCGAUUAGGAGAACCUUUGGGCUAACAAUUUUCAUAAAUUUAAAAAUUCGGGUAUUUUGUGAAGAUUUCAUAAAUUUGGUAUUUUUGUGAAAAAAUUUCAUAUUUUUUAUGUUUUAUGAAAAAUUUAUAAAUUUGGCAUUUUAUGAAUACCCUUUUUUGAAAUUGAGGUUUGGAUAUUUAUGUGCUUAAAACUCUGUCAUUUUUGUAUGUAUAAUUUAUUGUUUUCAUUAUACAUGGAAUUUGAAUUUUUAAAAGAUAAAUUUAAACAAUGUUCAUAUAUAUAUAUAUAUAUAUAUAUAUAUAUAUAUAUAUAUAUAUAUAUAUAUAUAUUGCUUAUGAUUGCAUGCAAUUUAUAUGAACAAUUUUGUGAAUAAAAUUAAAUGUCGAGUAAUCCAUAUAAUUUUAAUUAAUUAGGGAUUAACCGCAACAUCUUUAAUUAUGCAAAAUUAUAUAUUAAGUGUUUUAGGAUCACAUAUGGAAAAAUGACAUUGAUUGUAAUUAAUUACAUUUAAAUAUAAUAAACUUUAUCCUACAUGAAUUUUUAUUAUAUUUGUAUGAUUAAUUAGGAUAGAAUAUUAAAUUAUAUUCUUAAUUUAUCCACAAGAAUUAGGAAAAUAAUAUAAUUUGACAGUUUUAUCAUAAAGUUAAAUGGAUCUAAUUUGAUUUAAAUUCUUCUAUUUGUAUUAAAAAUUAAGUAGGAAAUAACAUAAUAUAAUUGAAGAUAAUAAUAAAAAAAUUAAAUUUAUCUGUAUUUCUAGAAAAUAAAAUAGUAUAUAAUAUAAUUAAUUACAAUUUUACACUUUUUAAAAAAAAUUAUUUUUAAAACAAAUAAAAAUAAUAUUAUUGUACAUGAUAACAUAAAAUAUAAGUAGUGUAAAAAUCUUAAAUCAAAUUUGAGUUAGUAUCAUAAAUAAGUUUGGAUAAAAAUAAUAAUAAAGCCCAAAUUAAACAAAGAUUAAAAAUGAUUUUCUUAACCCGUUCAAAAAAUUAAAUUAGUUGGGUGGGUCCAACUCCCUUUAAUAGAAGGGUACAAAGUUUUGAAACCAUUCAUUUAGUAGUGCAACAACCUUGGCCCAUAUAUUUUUUUUUUUCCAUAUUUUAAAGUCAAUAAUUUGUUUUUUAAAGGGAAAAAGACUUAUAUUGGCAUCCCUAUAAUUACCUAUCUUCAAAUUUUUAACCAUUUGAUAUCUAUAAAUAAGUUGAAUCAUAAUAAUAGCUAAAAUAGAUUUUCAAGCAUAUCAUACUUCAAAAAUAAAAAAUAAAAAACUGAAGUUUGAUGACUAUAGUGAAUGUUAAAAAAAAUUUCCCCCAUUAUUUCAUACCAUAAAAAAUUAUAAAAAUAAAAUGAAACAUUGUUUAAUUUUAUUUUAUUUUUUCUAAUUAUAAGAGUUUCAUACUUAACCAAUUAGGGCAAUUCUCAUACAUAAGUUCUAACUUCUUCCAUUAUUAUUUUGUUUUCAUCUAAAAAAUAGAAUUUUGUCUUUGAUCUAUUCCAUUGAAGCCACUCAAUUGUAUUUGAGAAAUCACCAUCCACUUUGACAUGACCACCACAACAUAAUCUACGAGAAAAGGGUAUGUCUUGCAACAAGUUAAAAGAAUAUAGUAUUCAACAACCAAAGCAAUGUUCACCAGGUUUUCAACCUUUGACACUCAUUUCAAAGAAAUGCAAUUAAAAGAGCAUUUUGUGUUUUGAAUAAAAGGUUUUCAAGAAUAGUUAGUGAAACAAAGCCACACCACCCCGUCACCAUACAAGCUAAUAUCAUUUUAGCAUAUCAUAUCUUAUAUAAUCAUCUUAUGAGUAUUGAUCUAAUUGAAAGACGUAUAAUAGAGGUUGAGAGAGAGCUUUGCAGUGAAGAAGUGGAGUUGGAUUCGAUGAUCUCGAGUUUAAAUGAAAAAUAUAAGAAAGAAAAAAAAAUCUUAAAGUAGAAAAUAGUCAUGAAUACGACUACAUUAGUUGGAUUCAAUUAGAGGAAUUAAUGUAUCCCAUAUAAAAGCGCCUCAAGUUCUUAUAGGUGAUCUUCAGCUUUCCUUACUUAACCAAUUGAUCAACACAAGAUUUAAUUGUCAGUGAAAUUUGGACUUACAUUUUUUAAUGUAUAGCUUAUGAUGGAGAUUUAUUUUUAUUUUUAGUUUUAUUUUGGUGGUUAUAUUCAAAAUUUUAGCAUAAUGUUCAAAUUUUAUUUGAUUUAUAUAUACUAAUAUUUUCUUUUCAAUGGACAACCAAAUAAAAAAAAAUGCAUUUUUGUUGUUGUCUUUUUCUUUCCUUUCACUUUUCUUUUUGUAUCUCUUUUCUGUUGGGAUGUUCAGUUAAAGUAGUCAAAGUUGUUAGAAUUUCAUUCUGUUAAUAGUUCCUAUUUUUUGGGACAUGUUGGUAGGAUUUGACUAUUUCCUUAGCCAUUUACCACGUUCUUACGUGGGCUGUUUGUUUCCUUUUUAAUCUCUUUUGUAAGGCUUAUAUAAGCCCAUAGCUUGUUUUGAAUUGAAUAAGACUCAUUCUCAUAUUGUGAGUGAAUUGCAUUAUGUCUACAGUUUACAACAAUCUGGUAUCAGAGCCCCAUCACGGGGCCUGAUUGUGAGAGAAAAGAAACCGCGGUUUCUUGUAGAGAGAAAGAGUGAAAAGAGAGUAAGAUAAGAGAAAGAGUGAUCAAAGUAUGGCAGCUGAAAGUAGUAACUUUGUUCAACCUGCAAUUCCUAAGUUCGAUGGCCAUUAUGAUCAUUGGUCUAUGCUUAUGGAAAAUUUUCUUCGUUCAAAGGAGUAUUAGAGCUUGGUGGAGAAUGGAAUCCCUGCCACAGCAAAAGGAAUAGAGCCUACUGAAGCUCAACAGAAGGCAAUUGCAGAUCACAAGCUGAAAGACUUGAAGGUCAAGAAUUAUCUGUUCCAAGCCAUAGAUCGAAACAUUAUGGAGACCAUCCUCAAUAAAGAGACUGGUAAGCAUAUCUGGGACUCUAUGAAGCAGAAGUACCAAGGUUCCACAAGAGUCAAAAGGGCACAACUUCAAGCACUUCGAAGAGAAAUCGAGGUUCUGCAGAUGAAAGAGGGUGAAAGUGUUGAUGAGUAUUUUGCUCAAACACUCACCAUAGCAAACAAGAUGAAGAUUCAUGGUGAAAGCAUGAAGCAAGUGGUGAUCAUUGAAAAGAUCCUGAGAUCAAUGACUUCAAGGUUUGACUAUGUUGUGUGUUCAGUUGAAGAGUCUAAUGAUUUAGACACUUUAACCAUUGAUGAGUUGCAAAGUAGCUUGUUGGUUCAUGAGCAGAGGAUGAAUGGGCAUGGAAGAGAUGAGCAGGCAUUGAAGGUGACCUAUAAUGAUAAAUUUGCUGGAAGAGGAGGUCGUGGUCGUGGAGCUUUUCGAGGAAGAGGCAGAGGAAGGGGCAGGCAAGCAUUCAACAAAGCUAUAGUUGAGUGCUACAAGUGUCAUCAAUUAGGGCACUUUCAAUAUGAGUGUCCUAAAUGGGAUAAGGGAGCACAUUAUGCAGAACUUGAUGAGAAAGAGGAGAUGCUAUUGAUUUCGUAUGUGGAGCUUAACCAAUCAAGGAAAGAAGAUGUUUGGUUUCUUGACUCGGGGUGCAGCAAUCAUAUGUGUGGAAAUAAGCUGUGGUUCUCGGAUCUUGAUGAGGAAUUCCGGCAAUUUGUAAAGCUCGGGAACAAUUCCAAGAUGACUGUAUUGGGAAAGGGAAACAUUAGAAUGCAAGUUGCUGGAGUUACUCAGGUAAUUACAGAUGUUUUCUAUAUUCCUGAGUUGAGAAACAAUUUGCUAAGUGUUGGACAAUUGCAAGAGAAAGGAGUGGCUAUUCUGAUCCAACAUGGAGAAUGCAGAGUCUAUCAUCCUGAGAAAGGGCUCAUUAUGCAAACAUCAAUGUCUGCAAAUAGGAUUUUCAUACUGCCCGCAAGAGUUAUGACAAAAGCUCCCAUUUGUUUUCAAAUAACUCUUGAAGACAAUACACACCUCUGGCAUUGUAGAUAUAGGCACCUAAGCUUUAAGGGUCUCAGAACAUUGUAGUAUAAGGAGAUGGUGAGAGGGCUACCACAGCUGAAAGCAUCAUCCAAAGUAUGCACUGAUUGCAUGAUGGGAAAGCAACACAGGAACGCAAUUCCAAAGAGGAGCUUGUGGAGAGCAUCACAGAGGCUACAGUUGGUACAUGCUGACAUUUGUGGACCCAUCAAACCUGUCUCCAACAGUAAAAAGAGGUACCUUAUUAGCUUUAUUGAUGAUUAUAGCCGUAAGGUAUGGAUAUAUUUUCUUACGGAGAAGUCUGAAGCUUUUACUACCUUCAAGAAUUACAAAAAUCUUGUUGAGAAAGAGACAGGAGCUUUUAUUUGUUGUUUGCGCACAGAUAGGGGUGGAGAGUUCACAUCUCUCGAAUUCAAUGCCUUUUGCAAAACUAAUGGUAUUAGUAGGCAACUCACUGCAGCCUAUACUCCUCAACAAAACGGAGUAGCUGAGCGCAAGAACAGGACAAUCAUGAACAUGGUUAGAAGCAUGUUAUCGGAGAAGCAAGUCCCAAAGAAUUUCUGGCCAGAAGCAGUGAACUGGACAGUUCAUGUGCUCAAUAGAAGUCCUACAUUGGCAGUAAAAGGCGUGACCCUUGAAGAGGCUUGGAGUGGUGUUAAACCCAAUGUUGAUUAUUUUCGAGUUUUUGGAUGCAUUGGCCAUGUUCAUGUGCCAGAUAACAAGAGAAAGAAGCUAGAUGAUAAGAGCUUUCAAUGUGUGUUGCUAGGGGUGAGUGAAGAGUCUAAAGCAUAUAGACUUUAUGAUCCAGUGUCCAAGAAGAUAGUUGUAAGCAGAGAUGUUGUUUUCGAAGAAGAUAAGUGCUGGAAUUGGGGGAGGAGUAAUGAAGAAGUAAGACUUGAUGUGCUUGAAUGGGGAGAUAGCAAUGAAGAAGGGAGUGAAGAUGAACAAGGUGAAGAUGACGCUGAAGAGGGGGUGGCAGUAGAGGGAAGAGAAAGAGAGGAUAGUUUGUCUUCGAGUGAGUCACUUGGUUCUUUGAGUGAGUCACUUGGUGAAAAUUCAGGAGUAUCUGGAGAAAGCUCACCAAGCUCACAACAAGGGAGAAACAGAAGAGUACCAUUCUGGAUGGAAGAUUAUGUGAGUGGGGGAGAAUUUUCAGAAGGCGAUGUUGAGCCCAACUUGGUCCUAUUUACCUCAACUGCAGAUCCAACUACUUUUGAAGAAGUUGUUCAAAGUUCCAAGUGGAGAGCUACAAUGGACUUGGAAAUAGAAGCAAUAGAAAAGAAUGGGACUUGGGAGCUGACGGACUUGCCUGAAGGAGUGAAGAAGAUUGGAGUAAAGUGGGUUUUCAAAACCAAACUCAAUGAAAAUGGCAAGGUUGACAAGUGUAAAGCUCGGCUGGUGGCAAAAGGGUAUGCACAACAACAUGGCAUAGACUAUACUGAGGUGUUUGCUCCUGUGGCCAGGUGGGAUACAAUUAGAAUGGUGAUUGCUUUAACAGCUCGAAAUGGUUGGAGUGUGUACCAGCUUGAUGUCAAAAGUGCUUUCUUACAUGGUGAGCUAAAUGAAGCAGUGUUUAUUGAGCAACCACAGGGCUAUGAGAAGAAAGGUGAAGAGCAUAAGGUGUACAAACUAAAGAAGGCAUUGUAUGGGCUUAAACAAGCUCCUCGUGCAUGGUAUAGUCGAAUUGAAGCAUACUUUAUCANNNNNNNNNNNNNNNNNNNNNNNNNNNNNNNNNNNNNNNNNNNNNNNNNNNNNNNNNNNNNNNNNNNNNNNNNNNNNNNNNNNNNNNNNNNNNNNNNNNNNNNNNNNNNNNNNNNNNNNNNNNNNNNNNNNNNNNNNNNNNNNNNNNNNNNNNNNNNNNNNNNNNNNNNNNNNNNNNNNNNNNNNNNNNNNNNNNNNNNNNNNNNNNNNNNNNNNNNNNNNNNNNNNNNNNNNNNNNNNNNNNNNNNNNNNNNNNNNNNNNNNNNNNNNNNNNNNNNNNNNNNNNNNNNNNNNNNNNNNNNNNNNNNNNNNNNNNNNNNNNNNNNNNNNNNNNNNNNNNNNNNNNNNNNNNNNNNNNNNNNNNNNNNNNNNNNNNNNNNNNNNNNNNNNNNNNNNNNNNNNNNNNNNNNNNNNNNNNNNNNNNNNNNNNNNNNNNNNNNNNNNNNNNNNNNNNNNNNNNNNNNNNNNNNNNNNNNNNNNNNNNNNNNNNNNNNNNNNNNNNNNNNNNNNNNNNNNNNNNNNNNNNNNNNNNNNNNNNNNNNNNNNNNNNNNNNNNNNNNNNNNNNNNNNNNNNNNNNNNNNNNNNNNNNNNNNNNNNNNNNNNNNNNNNNNNNNNNNNNNNNNNNNNNNNNNNNNNNNNNNNNNNNNNNNNNNNNNNNNNNNNNNNNNNNNNNNNNNNNNNNNNNNNNNNNNNNNNNNNNNNNNNNNNNNNNNNNNNNNNNNNNNNNNNNNNNNNNNNNNNNNNNNNNNNNNNNNNNNNNNNNNNNNNNNNNNNNNNNNNNNNNNNNNNNNNNNNNNNNNNNNNNNNNNNNNNNNNNNNNNNNNNNNNNNNNNNNNNNNNNNNNNNNNNNNNNNNNNNNNNNNNNNNNNNNNNNNNNNNNNNNNNNNNNNNNNNNNNNNNNNNNNNNNNNNNNNNNNNNNNNNNNNNNNNNNNNNNNNNNNNNNNNNNNNNNNNNNNNNNNNNNNNNNNNNNNNNNNNNNNNNNNNNNNNNNNNNNNNNNNNNNNNNNNNNNNNNNNNNNNNNNNNNNNNNNNNNNNNNNNNNNNNNNNNNNNNNNNNNNNNNNNNNNNNNNNNNNNNNNNNNNNNNNNNNNNNNNNNNNNNNNNNNNNNNNNNNNNNNNNNNNNNNNNNNNNNNNNNNNNNNNNNNNNNNNNNNNNNNNNNNNNNNNNNNNNNNNNNNNNNNNNNNNNNNNNNNNNNNNNNNNNNNNNNNNNNNNNNNNNNNNNNNNNNNNNNNNNNNNNNNNNNNNNNNNNNNNNNNNNNNNNNNNNNNNNNNNNNNNNNNNNNNNNNNNNNNNNNNNNNNNNNNNNNNNNNNNNNNNNNNNNNNNNNNNNNNNNNNNNNNNNNNNNNNNNNNNNNNNNNNNNNNNNNNNNNNNNNNNNNNNNNNNNNNNNNNNNNNNNNNNNNNNNNNNNNNNNNNNNNNNNNNNNNNNNNNNNNNNNNNNNNNNNNNNNNNNNNNNNNNNNNNNNNNNNNNNNNNNNNNNNNNNNNNNNNNNNNNNNNNNNNNNNNNNNNNNNNNNNNNNNNNNNNNNNNNNNNNNNNNNNNNNNNNNNNNNNNNNNNNNNNNNNNNNNNNNNNNNNNNNNNNNNNNNNNNNNNNNNNNNNNNNNNNNNNNNNNNNNNNNNNNNNNNNNNNNNNNNNNNNNNNNNNNNNNNNNNNNNNNNNNNNNNNNNNNNNNNNNNNNNNNNNNNNNNNNNNNNNNNNNNNNNNNNNNNNNNNNNNNNNNNNNNNNNNNNNNNNNNNNNNNNNNNNNNNNNNNNNNNNNNNNNNNNNNNNNNNNNNNNNNNNNNNNNNNNNNNNNNNNNNNNNNNNNNNNNNNNNNNNNNNNNNNNNNNNNNNNNNNNNNNNNNNNNNNNNNNNNNNNNNNNNNNNNNNNNNNNNNNNNNNNNNNNNNNNNNNNNNNNNNNNNNNNNNNNNNNNNNNNNNNNNNNNNNNNNNNNNNNNNNNNNNNNNNNNNNNNNNNNNNNNNNNNNNNNNNNNNNNNNNNNNNNNNNNNNNNNNNNNNNNNNNNNNNNNNNNNNNNNNNNNNNNNNNNNNNNNNNNNNNNNNNNNNNNNNNNNNNNNNNNNNNNNNNNNNNNNNNNNNNNNNNNNNNNNNNNNNNNNNNNNNNNNNNNNNNNNNNNNNNNNNNNNNNNNNNNNNNNNNNNNNNNNNNNNNNNNNNNNNNNNNNNNNNNNNNNNNNNNNNNNNNNNNNNNNNNNNNNNNNNNNNNNNNNNNNNNNNNNNNNNNNNNNNNNNNNNNNNNNNNNNNNNNNNNNNNNNNNNNNNNNNNNNNNNNNNNNNNNNNNGAAGUUUAGGUGGAUGUUAUUAAAGUACAAACAAAUUAGUUGGAAGUUUUAAGUAUUUUGACUGGAUACAAGACUAGAAUUUGAGGUAUGUGGUGUGUCUUAUUAGCAGGUUCAUGGCAAGUCCAACUGAGAUGCAUCUGCAAACUGCGAAAAAGGUGUUAAGGUACUUGAAAGGUACUGUAGAUUUGGGAGUUUUUUAUCAGAAGGAGGGUAAUGGUGAACUAAUGGCAUAUACAGACAGUGACUAUGCAGGGGAUGUGGAUGAUAGGAAAAGUACUUCUGGCUAUGUGUUUUUGCUCAGUGAAGGAGUUGUGGCAUGGUCUUCUAAAAAGCAGCCUAUGGUUACUUUGUCUACUACUGAAGCAGAGUUUGUGGCAACUGCUUCUUAUGCUUGUCAAGGAGUAUGGAUGAGGAGAGUAUUGGAGAAGCUUGGUCAUUCUCAAGGAAAGGGCACUACCGUGUUAUGUGACAAUAGUUCUACUAUAAAGCUGUCCAAAAAUCCAGUAAUGCAUGGACGCAACAAGCACAUUGAUGUAAGGUUUCAUUUCUUGCGUGAUUUGACUAGAGAGAGAGUUGUUGAGUUAAAGCACUGUGGCACACAAGAACAAGUUGCAAACAUUAUGACAAAACCACUCAAGUUGGAUGUGUUUUUAAAGUUGUGUGAGUUACUGGGUGUGAGUGUGGUACCAAGAGUCAACUGAAUGCAUUAUUGCAAUCAGUUUAGGGGAGGAAUUGUUGGGAUGUUCAGUUAAAGUAGUCAAAGUUGUUAGAAUUUCAUUCUGUUAAUAGUUCCUAUUUUUUGGGACAUGUUGGUAGGAUUUGACUAUUUCCUUAGCCAUUUACCACGUUCUUACGUGGGCUGUUUGUUUCCUUUUUAAUCUCUUUUGUAAGGCUUAUAUAAGCCCAUAGCUUGUUUUGAAUUGAAUAAGACUCAUUCUCAUAUUGUGAGUGAAUUGCAUUAUGUCUACAGUUUACAACAUUUUCUUGGUAUUUUCCAAAAACCAAGUAAAAACUUAGGCUAUGUUUGUUUCUUGAAAAGUAUUAAGGAAUGAAAACAAAUAUAAGGAAAAUAAUUUUCUUAUAUUUGGUUUCAACAUGUAAAAUACGAAAAAAAAAAAAUAUAAUUAAAAUUAAUUAAAAUUUUGUAUAUUUUUAAAUUAUUUAAUUUUUAUAAUAAAGAGAAAAAAAUAAGUAAAGUGAGUUUGAAAUAAUACAUAAAAUAAUUUAUUGAUUUUAAAUUUAUUUUUUAUUUUUAUUCUCUUUUUCUUUCCUUCUACUUUUCUUCUCUACUUUCUUUUUCUCACAUUUUUUGAGAACCCAACAUAGCCUUAAUAAAAGAAAAUUCAUCCAAAUAUUACAUCUUCACCACUAAUGAUCUUUUACCAUGGUACAAGUAUAGUUUAAAAAAAAAAAUUAUUCAACAAAAGAUUAUAAAUGUAAUUUUAAGUGAUUAGUUUUCUUAUAUGAAAUAAAAUGUGUUUUAAUCUUUUUGGGUUGAAAUAUUUAAAGAUGAUAUAUUUAAAUAUAAGAUAUUCUCCAAAAUAAUACACUAAAAUUAAAUUGGAGAGAAGAAAUUGAAGGAAGCUUUUUUUUUUCCCCCCUCUAAAGGAGAUCUUAUAAGUUACACAAUAUUUUAAAAAAUGGACUCAAAUAACAAAAUUCUUGAUUUUUUUAUGAUUCACUCAUUAACCAUGACUUAAUAAUAAAUAAAUAAAUUUCUCAAAAUAUCCCUAAAUUUAAAAGAUAAUUCCAAAAUUAAACCAAUCUCACUACUAAUUAAUUUAUAAAUUGCCUUCAAAAUUUCCAAAAUUCAUGUGGUAUAUUUUAUUGAUUACUCCUGUCAUUAGAUAUUUACCUUACUAUUUUCUAUCUUUGAAAAUCCCAACUAUGUUCAUUCAGGCCUUCUAAUGAUACCCAUUAUCAAUAUCAUUGUUGGGUGUGGAAUUCGAACCACUUAGCAACUCCAUCAAGCAAAGUGCUAAUGUGCUUGAAGAGACGAUCCUCCUACAACAAAGAAGGGUAAGGUGGUAGACUCAGUCUCCCCCUUUGAAGGUCAAGUUGGUUCUAAGAGAAGGAUAAAAUGUUAGGAGGCAUCAAGUGAAUAGGAUUAGGAUGAAUGUCAAGAAUGGUGAUGGCUCCGGAGGAUUAAUAAUUUGGAGUGGUGUACUUAGUCUGGGAAUGAAACAAUGUAUCUUGCAGGCUCCCAUGCCACUCCUUUUAAAAGACAUUUCUCCUACCAAGGUUACCAUUACCAUGAUUUGGAUAGGUGCCAACCAUGGUUAAAGGAUCAGUCAGGUCAUAUUAUGCCCAUGCUACUUGUCUAGUCUUGUACAGCGCAAUAGGCAGCAGAUGAUUAAGGAAUGCUGGGAGGGCGAUAAUGUUGGAUGAGCUGUGGUAGGCACCUACAAUACUUUCUUGUCAUGAUAUGGGACCUGCUUUGUUAGAGCUCAAAUAUUUGCUCAGAAGGUACUUAAACAAUAUGAUUUAUGUAAUACAAAAGGCUCAAAUCACCCAACUUAACUGAAAUGGUGAUAGCAGCUCAACUAUAGACCAAACAUCUAUUUUGAACUUGAUUUUAAACAAAAAUAUGAAAGUAUGCGAAGUAAAAAAGAAGUCACUUCAACUAAGAUAGAGAAAGAGGAUUAAUCAUUCAAAGAAGGAGAUUUAAGACUUGUAAAGAUGAUGAGAGUCUUAAGUAAGGGUAGAAAGAGAAUGGCAUGAACAUGAGAGAUGAGUGAUGAAGUUUAUGAAAAAAGUUAGAGAGCAAACAAUCAUGGGGGAGAAGGUUUGAAGUCUCAUUUUAAAGUUCACGUGGAAAUUGAAACUCAACCAAUUUGAAGAAAUCAGCCUUGACUUUGAACUAAAUGUUAAGCCAUUUUCCGUGGCUUUUUAGUUAUUAUUGAUUAUGUUUCAAAGCUUGAGAAGUUAGGAAUCUAAAGCUUCAAAUGAAGUUCAAAUGAAAGAGUUAUGGCUAUUUGAAGAGGAGUUGUGCAGGAUGCACUAUUCUAAUAUGAGAAUUUUGAUCCAUUCUAAUUUUGAAUUGAAGAGGAACUAGAGGAGCAAAAUACACCAAAUUGAAGAAGUGGAGUUCAAAAUCACCUUAGAUUUUGAACUCAAUUUGAACUAAGCAUGAUGAAACCAAAGAUUCAUAAAAGCUAAGCUUGAAAUCCAUAUAAAUUUUGAACUAGAAUAUGGAUUUGGAACUACUAUAACACUAGCAUUAUUCUAGUUAGAAAAUCUCGAACUUGAGAAUUUGGAUGAACUCAGUUUUCCAACUUUGAACAUGCACUUCUAAGCUUCUAAACUUCAAUGUUUGGGCUUUCCAAGCACCAAUGAAGGCCGCAAAGAGUCUAAAUAGUUCAAGAGUUGAAGAUCAUUUUAAACUAGAUUUUGAACCACUAUAGUGUCAACACUAUUUCAGUUCAAAAUUUUCGAUUUUUCGAAUUUGAAACUAAACUCAGCUUCCCAACUCUGAACCAUGCAUUUCUACGUUCCUAAACUUUGAUUUUUGGGCUUCCCAACCACCAACCAGGCCCUAGAAUAGCCCAAAUGAUUCAAGAUUUAAAGAUAUGGUGUUCUUUAUGAGAAUUCCAUGUAAUUUUUGGAUGAUUUGACCAAUAUGGCUAUGCCAUGUGACUAAUUUUAGUUUCAAAAAUUAAAACUCAAUUGUUUUUAGGUUUAAAGAGUGAGAGAUUUCAUUUUUGAGAAUAGAGAGACUAUGCAGGAGAUUACUUUGAAAUUUUUAUGUUUGUUUUUCUUUAUGCAUUUAACUUUAUCAUUGUUUCUAGUUACUUUUGAUUAUUAUAUUAAUGUCUUUCUAUUCUUCUAUGGAUUAUGUGAGUGAAAAGACCUCCAUGAGAAGCUAAAAGCUAUAUUAGGGUGUAAAACAUGAAGACUUAGGGUAAAAUUAAACUUACAAGGAACAAUGGAUAAAUGGAUAAAUAAUGGAUUUGACAAUUGUUUAAGGCAUAAAUUAUAAGAUAAAAUUUCUCCCUAAUGUUGGUUUGAAUGAGGAGAUAUUACAAUAGUCUACUAUCAAAUCCUAGAGAUUCUUGGUAACCCUUAAUCCCUAGUAAUCAUGGUUAUCUCUCUCAAUACCUACCCUAAGACAAAUCUAUAAGAGUAGCGUGGACUAAAAAGUCAAGACUUGAACUUGAAUUAUUUUUCAUUCAUCAUAUGGUAAUUAGGAAUUUGGAUUAAAAAGGAAUAACUAGGAUUUGGAUACAACUCUCAAUUAUAGAACUUAAGUUAAUCUCGAUUGACUAAAGAUCUUAAGAUCACACAUGAACUAAAAAGCCUUUGUUUGCUUUGAUUUCUAUUCUCAAAGUUGGAUUAUGUAUCCCUAUAUUGAAUUAAUUGAAGUAGAAUUUUGUAGUCAUUUUGUUAGUCAAUUAGAUUUGUUGUCAUUAUUCUUAAGUCACUAAAAUCAAUCCACUUGAUAUUUUCACUUUAGAUUUAGGUCAAAGUAAUAAUUUAACCUUGUAUUAACAACUUUCAUAGGCUAAUCCCUAAGGAUGAUACUAAGUACAACAAAAGUUGUAAUAACCUUUUUAUGGUUUUCCUUUGUCAAAGUUGCUACAUAUAAAAAGGUCUAAUAUUUUGGGUGUAAUAGAGAAACAUGCAUUGGAAUAUUUUGGAUAAAUUUAGUCUAAGUCUUGAGGGUGUAUGCAUCUAAUCUUCUUAAGGAUCUAGAUCUAAGCAUAAUGGAAGUAUUUAUAAUCAAAAUUUUAGAACUAAGGGUUUAAAAACAGUAUCUUUGAUUGAAAGUCAAACAUCCUCCACCUAAUGGCUUUCUCUUGAAAGUUGGUACUAGAGAAGGGUAGACUUUUUUCUCUUAAAGAAUGGCGGCUAGGUUCUUUCUAUCUUUUUCUUUGAAAAAUAAUAACGAACUAAAACAUCUAACCCUAAACCUUUAAAAGAUUUAUAUAGACUUCCUUGUUAGCUUAAAUAACUUGAACUCAAGUUUGUGACCUACUAACCAUUGCAUGAAGGUUCCCCAUGAACUUGUAAAUGUAAUCUAAUAAGGUAGAAACUAUCAACCUCUCAAGAUUACUUGUAAAUCCUUGAGCCUCAAAUUCUUUUAUUACGUAAUCAACUUACAUAUUCUAACUUUUAAGGAGCAUAUAUCAAAUUUUAUUAAAGGAAUCCUUGUAACUAUAGAUUUCAUGAUCAUAAGUCCUUAAGGAUUACCUAAGAAGACACAUUGUCUAAUACCCAUGAGGUACCAUGGUAUCUAUCUUUAAAAUACUUCUUGUCAUCUACCUUAAGGUCUUAAUCCAUAAAGACUAUAUAACAAUUUAAGGGUCACUAAAGAUCUCAACAUUAGCUCAAUAUUCUUUCAAAGUUGAGAGUUCAUGCAACAAGUAAUUUGGUAAAAUCAUGACUAUCCAAAAAUAAUAUUAUAAUUUACCAUAAAUCCUACCCAAUGUGUAACCACACAUACUAAUAUAUUCAUCAUGAGAAACUUAUUUUAAUGAUCAUGACAAGUCAUUCUUUUAAUUAGAAGGUAAUACACUAUAGUCUUAAACGGAUUGUCUAAGUUCAUGAACUAGUUGUGAACUAAUAAAAUUACAAGGAACUCAUGCUUUGGAUCUUCAAUACAACUUCUAAUGGAUUUAAGUUAUAUAUAAUGUAAAAGAUGCAGACCUAAAUGCUUAAAUAAACAAUAAUCCAUAAAUAGGAUGGUAAAAUGAAUUUGAAAUCAUAAUAUUAAUGAAAUUAUAUCUUAUUAUAUCAUGUCAUGCUUUUAAAGAUUUUGUCUUAACAAUACAAUCACUAUUCAGCCAAUAAUUAAGGCUAAUCUAGGGGAAGAUUGGCCCUCCCAGAAGGAAUUAAAUGCUUACUAGUGCUUGGUCUUCACUAUACCUCUCGAUUAGGUUUUGUAACUAAGAAAGUCGCCUAAUAAGUGUUGCUAGCUAGUUUGUUAGCCAUGAUUAUGUUAGGCCAAUGCUAGCCAAGUCAUCUAGGUUAGGAGGCCCUAAGAUCUAGCUAUUUUGGUAAGGUGCCUCCAAUUAGGUUGCAACUCUUGACAAGUUGGUGGUUUAGAGCAACCAAAGUACAACGUGAAUUAAGACAUAGGGGUGAAAUUGGGGCAAUUUGGUCAUCAACCACAUACUUGCAAGCUUAGAGAUUACUUUAUUACUCAAAUUAGGUUUGAGUUGCAUUUUUUCAACUUAAACUCAAUUUGAGUUGGGCUCAGGGUUAUGUAAUCUGAGUCUAACUCAAAUCAGAUUUAAAAUCUUUAUAAUAUUUAAAAUAUAUAUUAUUUGUAAAAUUAAAAAAAAUCAAUUUUUUAUUUUUAUAUGGAAAUGUUUUAUCAUUUAUUAUUUAAUUUUAAUUUUAAAAGGAAGAAGUGUCAAAUUAUUAUAUUAUUUACCAUUUAUUUUUCUAAAAAUAAAUAUGGAUUUCUUUUUCCAUUUUAUUUUUAUCUGGAAAUGUGUUAUGAUUUAUUACUUAAUUUUUCGUAAAAUUUUAUAAAAAUACAGUUUGAAAAGGAUAGUAUUUGUGAGUUCAACCGACUCAAUCUUAUCUAAAUUUAACCAUAAACCCAAGCUUAAUUUGAGCUUGGAAAAAUAGGUUGGAUUAGGUUUGGGCUCGCACCUUAGGUUUGUGGUAGGCUUGGAUUUGACUUAGGCUUAAGUUGAGGGUUUUUCAAUUCAAGCUGGACUUUAGUUAAUUGAAAGCUUCACCCAUCCUAUUAUAAAACCCAACCCUACUAUCUCUAACCAAGUACUAAUCUAUUUUCAUUUAAGGUACUUCGAUUGGUUGAGUUGAUUAGAUUGCAUGGAACAAACUUGGUUAAGAUAACAUUAGUUUAAAAUUUUAAAUCCUUCUAUUUGUAUUAAAAUUUAACUAGCAAGGAACAUAAUAUUUAAUAGUAAUAAUAAUAAAUUUAUCUAUCUUUCUAAAAAUAAAAUAAUACAUAAUAUAAUUAUAAUUUUUCGUUUUUCUUUUAAAUUAUUUUAAAAACGAAUAUUAUUAUACACAAUAAUAUAAAUUAUAAAUAUUCUAAAAAAUUUAAAUCAAACCCUUAGGGUCAAAGCCCAACUCAAACUAAGUUUGGGUUAAGAAAACUAAAUCCAAGCCCAAAACAAAUAUAAAAAAAUAGAAAUUAAAUCAUAUUGAUUUCAAGUUGGGUCUAUCCAUUCAAAUUACAUCCUUUUCAACUUUCGUUGAUAGCAUCUUGUCACAAGAGGCACAUUUACCACAUAUAAAUACAUAACGUACCCAAAGAAUAAUUAUGUUAGAGCAGUAUAUGAGUACUAUUUUCGGUGACUUCCUGGCAAGUCCUUUUGAUCUUUACUCCACUUUAUGUCAAUUGGGUGUCUACGGAUUCACCCACCACCUCCAUUUUAAAAAGGGUAGAAAGUUUUGAAACCAUUCAUUUAGAGGUGAAAGAACCAUGGCCCAUGAAACAUGCUAUUGAUGAAUUUUUUAUUAAAAAUUCAAUAUUAUUGUUUUAAAAGUGUAUCCCAAUAACUAUCUAUCUUCAAAAUAAAAUUUAGGGAAAAAUAUAUUUCCAUAAACUCAUAUAAAAAUAAAUCAUAAAAUAGGAACUAAAUUUUACUUUUGACCAUUCAGAUACUACCUUUUAAUGAUACGAGUAUUGUCUUUGACCAUCUUACAUAUUAUAACAUCUUUGAUAAUUCAGGUAUUACCUUUUAAUGAUGUGGAUAUUGUCUUUGACCAUCUUAUAUAAAUCUUUAAUUAGUGAGUAUAUAAAAUAAGACUUAAAUUAUUUCUAAAUAAUUCUUAUUUAUAAUAAUUUUUUUUUUAUGUAAGUGCAUAUAAACAUACUUUUCCCUAAAAUUUGGGUUAUAAAAUGAAACAUUACUUAGAAUUGUAUUUUUUAUAAUUAUAAGAGGUUGAUGUAUACUUGAUUAAUUAGGGCCAUUCCCAUUCCAAUUUUUACUUUGGUUUCAUCUAAUGAAUGGGAUUUUGUCUUUGAAUGAUUCCAUUGAAGCUUCAUUGAAGCCACUCAAUUGUAUAGGAGAAACCACCGUCCACUUUGAGAGGACCACCCACAACAUAUUCCACAAGAAAAGGGUGUGUCCCUUCAACAAGGUAAUCAGACCUUUUCUUUUGGGGUCUUCACCUCUUUUCUCUCCGAUGGGACCAGAGUGAAACUUGACUUUUUCUCAGCAUCAUCCAAAAAUUAAUGCCUUUUUUCCCCUUUUUCAAAAGUGGGUUUUUUUCUUUUUUAUCUGAAUUUAUAAAAAUAAAUAAAUAAAAUAAAAUAAAGGGGAGUGGGGGAAGGGGGGGAUCAUGGGUAUGUUAGUCAACUCAGAUUGCAAGUGAAAGGGAUUGGGUGGCCAUGUUGUUGGGAUCAACAAAAGCCUCCAAACUCCAAUGUGGACCCUCUUUUUCUUUCUUUUCUUUUAUUUAUUUAUUUAUUUAAUUUAUAUUUUGGUACUGUCCUCUAUGUAUGUGUGAUCCUUUUCCGUGAAGAUUGGACAGAUACCUAGAAUAGCAUGCUUUGAAGAUAAUAAUGAAGGCAUAUAACCACCUGUCACCAACUAGCAUUUAUAUGAUAGAGGCAAGUGGGUACUUUGUGGUUUGCUUUUAUGAUUUCAUUUCAACUGCCCCCUAAUCUAAACAACCUCAACAGUCAACAUUACCUUUAUUUGAUCCAAUAAAUCUUAUUAUUUUCUUGACAUAUAUAUAGAGGUGAUUCAUCAUUCUUGAUUUAUACAUUGAUUGGAUUAUGAAAUGAAAGCAUUAGAGACAACUUGGACAACACGUCACAUUGUGAUAGGUAACCACCAAGUAUAUAAUUGAAAAUUUGGCCAAUGGUAACCAUGGUCAUAAAUUUUUUUAUUUUCUAAACCUUUUUCCAAAAACCACAAAAGUGACAAAAAAAAAAAAUAUAUGUAAUAUUAUUGGCAAGACAUUUCAGUAUUUUCGAUAUAAUUUUUUGUAUAGAUAUAUAUUAAGGUAAACGAACAAUAAGAUCGAAUCUGAUAAUAUAUCUAAUAUACGUGUUAUAACUACAUAACUAUAGUAAGAUGAGCGAUUAUUCCUCCAAAAUGAAAUGAUUAAAAUAUUUUCAUUUGUACUUUUCCAAUUAGUUCAUAAUGGUCGGACCGGAUUCCAAGGCCAUAAAACUUGUUACAUGACAAAAAACGUUAAAAUUCAAAGGAAAUCCAUCAUAAUAGAAAUAAAAGAAUUUAAUAGGUUUUAGACAAAUUCGAAGAAAGGUGAUUAUAAAAUCUACCUCACCAUAAAGUUAAAUCUUAUUCCAAUGGGUUGGCAUAAAAAAUUAUAGGGCAUGUGACAAGGGGGCAUGGGCAUAAAUAUAAAAAUAAUAUAUAGUAUUAAGUAUUAUUGGGCACAUUGUCUCACUCAUCAUAAGUUUGUUAAAAGUAGCAUGGUGACAUUGUCCAACACCGACACAAACAAAGGCCAAAUGUAUAUAGACAACAUUGUCCCAUCUCAUUCAACUUGUCUCCUACGUUACCAGCUGUAUGGAAUUGAAAUCAUUUAUUGUACCCAUUUUUCUCUUUUAACUCGUGAUUCUUCUUUACAAUAUUUAUAAAAAUUUUACAAGAUUGAUGAAUUUUAUCUCAUUUACUUUGGCUUCAUUUGGUUACACUUUAAAAUUAUUUUUAAUUUUUAUUUAUAAAAUUAAUUUAAAAAAAUCGUAUAAAUUAUUCCUUAUCUUUCAUAUACUACCUUCAAACUUACGACAUAUUGAAGAAUAUCUUUUCCAACAAGAAGCCAACAACUUCACAAUCUUUUAUUAAAGGAGAGUUUGAUACAUUUUUAGUCAACCAAUUUUUCUAAAUUUUAAAUUAUUAAAUUUUUUUUUAUAUAAAUAUACAUAAAAAUGGAAUGAUUCAUCAAUCUCUAAUCUUCGACCAUCCUCAACCCCCUAAAUUGGGAAACGGGUAUUUUACAAAUAAAGAUAAUUACUUCGCACCUAACUAUCUUUUGGAAUAAAAAAUGGUUUGUUUUCUUAUUAUGCCUUUUAAAAGAAGAUAGAAUAUAAAUAUUUUCAUAUUUAAUAAUAAAAAUAUUAGUGUAUAAAAAUUGCAUGUUAAUUAUAAGAAAAUUUCUACUCUUUAUGGCAAAAAAAUUAAUUAUGUAUUCAAAAUAGAAUUUUAUAAUUGGAAGAAGAAAAUUGAUUUAUAAAAUAACUUUUUAUGAUAAAUUACAUGGGAAUCUUAUUUAAAAAUGUUUUUUAUUUUCCAUAUAAAACAAAAAAAAAGAUAUAUAUAUAUAUAUAUAUAUUCAUUCAACAAUUUGGUGGUUGAUGACUAGGGGAAGAACACAUUCAUGGGCCCGGCCCACUUUUGGUCCAAUUUAAUUAACUUCUCUAUCAUCCUUUCUCAAUGGCAUCUUGAGUUUGAUGUCACAUGGAAAUCUUUCAAAAUUCAAGUGUUGUGGCCCCUGUUUGGAUGUAAGGAAAAAUAAAAGAGAAAAUAGAAGAAAAUAUCAAAUUUUCUUCAAAUUAUCCCUUUUUUUAACUUAAUUUCAAUAUUUUAUUUUCCUUUUUCUUGUUCUUCCCAAAAUUCAAAUAACUUUAAGAUGAUGAUGAUCCAUGAUAAACGAUCUUAUUAAAUCUUUGUGAGUAUUUUACAUAACAGUGCUUUAUUUUUCUUAACACCAUACAAUUCCAUAACUCAAAAAGAAUUUUUUUUAAAAUUGAAACGUUUCUUAAGUUUGUUUUGUUAAUAAAUGUAAUGACAAAGCAAGAUCAAAACAAAUAUUUUGAAACUGCAAAUACUUUGAAAUAAGAACUAACAAAUAUAUCAACUCUAGUUUUUUCUUUAAGCUAUGAUUAGAGUAUCUUGUAAUGAUUUGAGUAUGUUGUAAUGAUUUGAUAUGGAAAAAGAAAUUGAAUUUUAAAAAUCAUAAAGAUCGGGAAAAGAAAAUAAGCAUUUAGAUGAUAGAUGCAAACAAAUGGGCCUAUUAAUAGGUGAGGCGUCAUCAUCGCAAAUCAAUUAAAUCAAUUUUCAAAAUAUGAAAUAGGCCAAGGAGCAUACACAAUUCCCAAUUAAUAUGAGCCAUCCAUUGAUCAACUAUUUGAUCAAGAGAUUGCAAUUGAUGUGAUUCAUCAAUUAGCGUCAAUCCUUCCUCGACUAUUAUGAGGUCCAAUUGAUUUGACGUAGAAUCACAUGCUAACAAGAUUGAUCAAUAUUAUCAUGUCAAGUUUAUCGACAUAUUUAAAGAAGCAAUGAACGUGGAACGAAAAAGUAUGUUCAACACCGACCAAACAAUACUUGGUUUAAUAAACUUGAGAAACAUGUGUAAGACUACAUCACAAAUUGGUCGACAAAGACUAAUGCAAUUAAAGGCCAUUUCAUUUGCAUAAUUAUCGAGCUAGGGUUUGAUUUUCAACCACAAAAAUACACUGGGUCCCAUUAGUGGUGACCUAAUAUCGGUACAUUUGUACAAAGAGUUGUCACUUUCUCCUUGUUGAUUAUGGCAAAUAUUUCCUCCAUGGAUCGUGACCUUCAAGCCUAUUUUUCACUGCUAAGGGGGGAGUGCAAAACUUACAAAAAGUGAAAGAAGGUUAGAAACAUAGUACAUGGUCCACGGCUCUUGGUGUUUAUAGGAAUUAUUGGAAUGGAAUCACUUUUGGUAUUGAAUAUUUUAACCAAUGCUCUCUUUCCAACCCAAUCCAUGGCCAUGAGAAUCCACAAAGAAAAUCUUUCGCCACUGCAUAUAUAUGAGUGGGAAUUUUAAGGAGUAUCGAAGUGUUGGAAUAGUUUAUUGAUGUCAAACACUAAGCCACCACUCAAAAAAGCUAAACCACUAAAAUUGUUGAUGUUUGUUUGGUUAAGUGGGGCUACAUGGAUUAAUUUCAAAUCCAUCUCUGGAGAAGAUGGGGGGAUUUGGGUUUGCAAUCACGAUCUUCAAGACCCCAUUAAUGGAAUGAGUUGAAGUCUUGAGCACAUGGGUUUUGAGCUAGUGGGAGAGGCUGAUGUUUACACUUCAAGGCCAAUCUGUCGAAAAACCCUUGAAAAGAAUGGUUGGAAUAGCUCCUUUCUUUUCUUUUCUUCUCUUGUUUUCUUUUGGUUUCUUUUUCCAAUGCCACAUCUAUCUCUAGGGUAGUGGGGGGGGGGGGGGGGGGGGGUUAUUUUUAAAGAUUCAAAAAUGCAAUAAAUAUGUCUUCUAUCUUUAGCUUCACUACUCAUCACACCAAAUCCAUCCAUGUAAAGUAGAGUCAUGGCAGAGUCAUUGAAAUUCCCACAAAAAGGAAAUUGAUGUCUAGGAGAUAUGAUUUCUAGGUGAAUGGUCUAUGCUCUCUUUCUCUCUCUUUCUUUUGGGGGUUGUGGAUUCUUAUCUUGACCCACCACGCUUCUCCUUUCUAAAAGACAAUCCAAUUACCCUUUCAUAUAAGAGAGAGCAUAUACCAUUAGUUCUUCCUCAACUUCAAUCAAUUAGAUCUUCAUAUGUAUUAUAAUUCAUCACACCUAACAAUAUUUGAUUAUUCUCCUUUACAUAUAUAUUUUUGUUGAUUCGUCUUAGUAUUAAUACAACCCUAAGUUAUCACGUCAAUUCUUGUUGGUCACUUGUGACAUGAAAGGAGGUGGGGUCAUCUUGCGAUGGGGAAUGUGUAAGGAGAGAACAAAGGAAGAAACCAAAUCAAUUCUAACACGAUGGAGUAGUACAUGGGUGCCCCUUUUCACAAGGGAGAAGAAAGUUAGGGUUCCCAUCAAGGCCCCAUGCCUAUUGAUUAAUUGGAUCCAUAUUCUAUGCUUUGUAGUUUGUACUGUCCAUUCCUCUACCCCACAUCAACUGCAAAAUGGAAUAUGGAUUAUAUCACCAAAGUGGACAACUUAUGUGACACAUUUUUAUCUACAUAUGCUAGACCUCUCUUAAGAUAAAUAAAAUAAAAGCACGAGGAUAGGCCUAAAUAAUUGAAGGUUUUCUUUUACUUUUGGUUCACGAGAAAAUGCCAUUGGGUCUAGUGUCAUUGUCCUCAUCGUCAGCAUUUCCUUGGUCUAGUGCAGGACGAUGAGUUCAAGCAUGUCUUCCUUUAUUAAUUUGUCUAUCCAUAUGCACCCGAGGAGAAGAAAAAAAAAAUAUAAAGGAAGAAGACAAAGAAGAUGGAAAAAAGAGGAGGGCCCAUAUGAAAUGGAUCUAUGAUUUUAUGGGAAGGAGACCAAAGCAAAGGAGAUAGAUUUUAUUUAUUCACACAUCUCUUUCUUGUAUUCAAUCAAGGGAGGGAGACAUGGAGAGGUUGGUUACAUAUCUUUUUUGCUUUAAUAAAUGUUAGUUUUGGUGGUGAUAUGGGGAAAGGGUUGGGACUCCAAUGUGCAAUGCACCAUCCAACUAAAACAUCCUCAUUUCCACAAAUUACUACUUAAUUGAUUCUCUCCUUGGACAAUCCCAAUUAUCUCCAUUGAUACCAUUUCUUAAACUUUAUCAUUAGAAUAAAAAAAAAAUAACAUCAUGUGUUGUAAGGUCACAAUCGAAUCAAUCGAUAUGGGACCCACAACAUAAGUAUACUAAUUGACCAGUCGAUGAUGCUCCAUCGGUGUAAUCCACCAUUAACCAAUUAUUUUGGAAGGUAAUCAAAUCACGAUUUCUAAUUUUUUAUAAUAAUAUAACAAGAUAGAAUCCUUCAAUGAGAUCAUGUUAGGUUUUGCUUUGGCUAGAAAACAUUUCCCUUUCUUAAUCAAAUUCAAAGAAAAUAAUGUAUCCUAUAUGUCCUUAGUUCAAAUCCUAUAACAGCAAUAAUACACCUAAAAUUACCCAUUACCAAUAUUUUGAUUGGUUAACUUUCUUAUGCUUAAAGACCAAAAUAAAUUAUGGGUCCAACAACUAACUUGGUGAUCAAGGAUUUUCAAAAAUAGUUUUCAAACCUCUGUGCAACACAAAUUAGAGAAGGUCUUAGAAGGCAUUGAGAGUUUUUACUUGUCAAGGCAAUAAAAUUAUAUUAUUGCACAAACAUUCACACAAUACCAAAAAAAUAUAAAUAUAUUCAUAUAUUCAUAUAUUUUUAAUAUAAUUUUUAGCAUUCAUAUAUUUUUGUAAAAACUCACACCCAAGUGCGUAAAUAUUGUCUGUUUUAAGCUCAAAUGAGUUUUCAUAACUUUAAAACGCAUCUAUAUAAUUAAGAAAAACUUAUACUUAUAUAGUAUCAGAAACUUUGUUUUAUAUCCGAUGUGAGAUACCAUACCUACAAUAUAUAUAAUUAUAUAAGUGAUAUGAGUUUUUUUUUUCAUCUAUUAAAAAAAACAUUUAAUUGAUAAUGAAAAUACAUUAUUACUAUUAUAAUUUACCCUCAAAUAAUUAUAAAUGAUAUGGUCUUUGAAUUUUACUGAAAAACUUAGAAAUAUAAAUCAAAGAUGGACAUGGAACAUUGCAUAUUGAUUUGAAUGAAAAAUUGAAAUUUAUUGAUCAAAUUAAUAUAAUGUCAAAUCCAAGGAAGGUCAACUUAUAGGGUAGGGAUAUGAGAUGACUUGAGUGAAUGCAUUAUUGUGUAUGUGUGAUUUGGAUGAUACUUACCAAAAAGACCAUAAUUAUGAAGCAUAUUAAGUUGGAAAAUGAAAUAAACCUAACAACACAUAGAAAAGUGGAAAAAUAAAGGAAAUUAUGACAAGUCAAAGUAGAGAAAUAAAGGAAAUUAUGACAGCCAAAUAGGAGUUUUGGAGUGGAAUCCUUCAAAUUUCAAGCUUGGAGUUGGAACAAAAGUUGUUCUAAGGUAGGUAAUUGGAACAUUCUUAGGAAAAUUUGACGGAGAAGAAAGAAAAUCAAUUCAAUAUCUAGAAAAUGCAACCAUUUAUUUGAAUAGGCUUUAAUUGAUUAUUGACAAAAAAAAAAUAGGGAAAAAAAUUAAUAAAGCAAAUACAAAUUUUGAUCUAGGUUGUUUUUUAAACUAUUUUUCAUGUUUCUAAACUAUAUAGAAUUGAAAAUGAAGAAUUUUAAAAUUUAUAAAUUUUCUUUGAAAUUUCAUUUUAGUGUCCUUCCAUAUUAUUGUUAUUACAAUUAACUAACAAAAAAUGAACUUUAUUUUUUAAUUUUUCUAUUUUUUGUGAUUGUAUGAUAUAUUUUCUUGAAAAGUUUGUAUUUAAACUUAUUUAUUUACAAAUCAGAAAUUGAUCGCGUCUAUCAACUCGCUUUACAUUCGAAAUGUUAUAGGUGCUUCGAUAAAUGCAUUAUAAGGUUAAGGUAUACGAAUAUUUUAACUCAAUGACUAGAAAAAAUUAUUAAUUUUCUUUUUAAUAUAAAUGUUGUUCCUUAUUGUGAAGGCAAAUGUUAUCAAAAUUCACUCAUUAAAAUUACAAAAUCAAGAGAAAAAAAUUUCUCAUCUCAAAAAAUGAAAAAGUGGGAGAAAGGUAGAAAAAUAUACCAUUCAAAUAAAAAUUUAAAAAGGAAAAAAAAAGGUUGGAAUCCAAAAGUGACCCAAAUCAUCCAAAUGGGUGUAGUACCAACAUGAUCAUGUGAGUCUCAAGGACAAAUAUAGCAAAAACCAAGUCCUCUUGUACUCAUUCGAGGACAAUGUCAUAUGUGGUUGCUUCUCAAUUACCAUCAUCAUUCCUCCCACACUUACACAAUUAAUAAUAUAUUGAAAAAGAAAGCCCAAAUAGUACAACAUCUCCAUUAUCAUUUCUUUUUCCAUCUAUAAUGUUCCCUCACUUUUAUAAUGAGAUUCCUAGGCAAAAACCCCUUUUCCUUUCUUCACUCAUUUCACCCCACUCUUUCAAAUUUUUUUUUUUUUUUAAAAAAAAAUACUUUAAAUGAACCAUUAUGGGUUAGUGAAUAUCAAUGACUCUCUCCAACAAUAAUUAAUAAAUUCUUUUAUUAUAAAAUUCAGCACUAAAACAACUAUCAAUAAAAUUUUAAAAAAAUAAUAGUUACUUGAGUUGAAAUUCUCAUCUAUGAUGAAAAAAGGGUGGGUUUUUUUUUUUUUUUUUUUUUUUUUGUGGGGGGGUGGGUUGGGGGGAGAAAAAUGGUAAAAUAAAAAGGGGGAAAAGAAGAAAGGCAAGAAAGUGGAAUCAGAUUCACAUGUUUGAAGGGCAUGCAGGGUGAUAAAGGGACAGAUGGUCCUAAUCUAGAGGGACCCACAAAAGAGACCCAAAGAUCCUUACUACAACAACAACUACAAAUCUCAAUUAUUUUUGUGUUGUCCUUUGUUACCUCCUCCUCAUUAAAUGCUAACUUUGGCUUUAGUGCCCCUCCACUUGCCCCUUCCAACUUUACUAUUUUAAACAAUAAUUCAACAUUUUUUAUUUUUAAAUUCUUUAUUACGGGUGUUGAAUCUUGAAUGGGAAUUGAAGUUGACUUCAAUAUUUCAUUUCAUUUCAUUUUAGAAUUAUUAUUAUUAUUAUUAUUAGUAUUGGUGGGGGUUGAUUUCAAGGCCACUUAAAUCAACUCAUUCAAAAUGGUACCAUCUAGUCUUGGACCCAACAAUGCUGUGAUUUAUUUCUUUCAACCCUUUUCAAAAAUAUAUCAACACAUCUUCCAAUUGAAUAUUGAAAUUGAUUUUUAAAAUAAUAUUAAAUAUUUACUAGUCAAUAGUAUUAUAUAUAUUUUUUUCUUCUGAAGAUUCUAGAGAAAAAGCAUAAGGUCUAUCUCAAAUGGGUUUUACUUCUACUUUUCAUAGUGGAAGAAGCAAACUUGGUUAUCCUUAUUAAAUUAAAUUAAUCUAUUUUAUGUCUUAUAUCAAAGGAAAAAUAUGAAUUUUCUUAUUAAAUUAAUUUUUUUCAAAUAUAAUUGUAAUUUACAAGUUAAUAAUAUUUUUUAGAUGUGAUAUUAAAAUAAUACUACAUAUUUAUUGGUGUAAAAUUAAAAUAUAAAUUAAAUUCUUAAAAAACACUAAGAGGAAAUUUCUCAAAAUGUCUUGGAAGAUUAUAUUGUUAAAUUUUGGCUAAAUAUUUGAAAAUUGUAUCUAGGAAAAUUGAUUUUACAUUUAUUUUAUUAUUCUAGCUGCCAAAAUGAGACUCAAUCCAUGGAUUUGAGCAAGAUUCAAUGGACAAGAGAUUAGUUGCUUUCAUGGCUUUGCUACCUCUCUCCCCCUUCUAGAUUCUCCCUCUUAAUUUCAAGCAAGUUAUGAAGACCAUCCUAAAAGGUCCACAAACUCUAGAAGAAUGUGAAGUUGUACAAAAAACUUUAAAAAAAAAUAAAAAUAAAAUUAAAUUAAAAAAAAUCCCAUGGGAUGAAUCAUAUAACACAAACUCCAAAAAAUCAUGUGAAAAUGCCAGACUCCAUUUCAGGACAAAUGAAUUACCCAACUGCAUCAUCCUUUUGCAGGGUUUUGCUACCAAACAAUGAAGUCCUUCAAAAAAAUAAAUAAAAAUAAAAUGAUUAAAAUCCCAUCUUUUUUCUACUUUAAAUCAUAUUUUUCAUUUUUAAUUUACUUUAAUUAUAUUUUCAUAUUUUAAUCAAUCACAUAUGAUCACAUUUUCCAUAUCUUUAUUAUAACACUAAGAGGGUAUUGUAAUGCUUUCAUAUUAUAAUGACAUUUUCCACCCCUUUAUUAUAAUACUAAGAGGGAGGGGUGGGUUUACUUGAUUCACUGAACAAGAGGUUAAUUGAUAAGGACAAAUGACAGGACCAUUAGAGAAAAGCACAAGAACAAGGCAUUGAGAGCCAAAUUUAGCAGGGAGGGCAGAGUCCAUGAUAGAUGCCAUCAUCCUCCACUUGUCUUCACGCUCUCUCAUUUAAAAAAAAACAUGGAAGUCAUAACGUAAUGCGAAUAAUAAAAAGAAAGCCAGGUAGUGUGUGUGGAGGAGGUAGGAUUGAGAAAGUGACAAGAGGAAGAGGCAGCAGCGUGAGUCACCCUCAACCACUUCUCUCCUGUCUCACGCCUUCCUCCUUUUCAUGUGUUUUUGUUUGUUUCCUUUCAUUGUUAUUGAACUUAUCUCUUCUUUUUUUAUUUUUUUUGUAUUAUUCCAUAUUUUACGUGAUGUAAUAUUAGCGAGAUGCAUGUGACAUCGAUAAUUUUAUACUAGAAGAAGAUAAACAUUUGAAGUUUGUUUGGGGAGAGAGUAAGAUAAGUUAAAAGAAGAGAGAGAGUGAAAUACGCAAUGAUGAUGAUGAUGGCGAUGCAGGUACAAUAGACUUUAUGGUACUUGGAUUCCUUUUUGCCCGUUUUGGCGCCACUCUCGACAUUAUAUAUAUAUAUAUAAAUAAUAAAAAACCACCCAUUCUCACGUCGCUUUCUUCUUCUUUCAUCUGCGAACUGCCCAUUCACCCCACACGAGGUACCCGCAUUCGCACAGCGACAUUUACGCGAGUCCUACGUGUCGGCUUUUCCGUUUCACUGGUCAGAUUCAACCCAUUACUGAGAUAUUUUGUGAGGGAAAUUAGAAUGAAUGAACGAAUGAAUUGGAUUGGAGACAAUGAAAUGGAAAUUUAAAUUUACUUUUUUUUUUUUUUUUUUUUUGGAAUUGUAUUUUGUGAAAUAUUGUUUCUAAGAGAGGUUAACAUGCACACUGGCAUUCUUGUUAGAUUUACAGAUGGGGCAAGUGUGGAGGGUGGAGCCACAGAUUGUACACAGACAGAGGUGCCUACACGGCAGCAGUAACACCGACGCCUCCUCCUUCCGGCAGUUUCUGCACCAUCUCAUGUUCCUGUCAUCCAUUUCUCUACUCUCUUUCUCUUCAUUUUCUCUGUCGCAAUCACCGUCGCCGCCGCUUGUGCUCCCGCAGCACGACUCUGCUUCCUCCGCCCACUCCAUUUCUAUGUACUCUGGGCAGGGGCUGAUCCGGCUCUGCCGCUGCUCCGUCUUCACCUGGCUCAGAACUUGCUCCAGAUUGUUCCUCAGAGCAUUGGCGUUGGCUUCGUUGGUCUGCGCCAAGUCUCGCCAUAUCUGGUUCUCCUCGCACAGCGAUUUCACCCUCUCCUCCAGUGCCCAAUUCAAUUUCCCGAUGUUCUCGAUUUCCUCCUCUUUGGCCUUCAGUCUCUUCAUCAGAGCCUCCUCCACCGCCGCUAUUAUUCGCCUCGAAUGUCUUUUUCUCCGCUCUUCUAUCUCCAACCUCACCCUCUCCAUCUGAAAAAUAUCGAAAUAAUGAAAUUCGCCACCAAUUCACCACGACAAAACCAGAAAAUUAGAAAAUUAGAUGUACUCGUAUCCAUACAUGUUGAGAAAUGAAUCGGUCAAUCUCCAACUGCUGCUGUUGGAUCUGCAGAGAAAUGUCCUGGCCGAGAAAGGAGAAGUUUCCGGGGAAGGACAUCAUCACGGACUCAUCCCUCGCCCGCUUCCUCGCAACCGGAAGAUUAUACGUGAGGCCACUGUCUGCCUUGGCCGGAGCCGGAUCGACGAAGGCUGAACUGUAAAAAGGAACCAUCAAAUUCUCGGAAACCAGACCUCUCUGCCCAACCUGGCUUCCGUAAACGACGCCGUUUCCAUCCAGAGAGCCCAUCACUUGUCUGGAAAAUCGAAAUUUACAUCAAAAUCAAGAGAGAAAACCAAAUAGAAACGAGCAACGUAUGCAUAUAUAUUCAUCCGUGAAUGAUAAUAACAUACCUUUUGUUUGGUAUGAAUUGAGAAGGAAAGAGAUUGAUACGGCGAGCUUCAACAGCCAUGGCGAUUGCGCAUAGAAUGUGAGUUAGAGGUCUUUAAUGGGGAGAAGAAAGAGAAAUGAAGAAGAGGAAGAAGAAAAGGCAUGCAAGGGAGAGAGACAGCGGGGUGGGAAGAGGGUGUAGGGUGGGGUUUAUUUAGGGUUUGGUUGAGAGAGAAAAGAAAAUAAAUACACAUACACAUAAAUAUAUAAACAUAUAUAAAUAAACAAAAAUGCUAAACAAAAGGAGACUGAUUUUGUUUGUUUGUUUGUUUUUGGGAUUUUGUCUAAUUUAGAGAGAUUCGGUUACCGGAAACGCCCCUCAUGCUUUAAGCGACUGAGACUAGCAAUCCGCAACCAACAGAGAUCCGGUCAGUCCGUAAUUUCAGCCAAUUUCCAGGGGCUUAUUUCGGACUACGACCGCCAUGUUCUCCUCCUUCUCACUCCAAAAUAAAUAAUAAUAAAUAGAUAAAAAGUUCUGCCACAUCCCAACUGCCGACUGGGGUUGCCACGUAGGCCGAAAGGCACGUGUGUGGGCGAGCAUGUGGGAGAGGUGGGCCCCAGGGAGUACAAUGUGUGUGGGAGUGGAGGGGUACGGUGUUUCCGGCUGUUUCUUUGGCAGUUUCUGCCUUCUGGACAUGCUGGUCGCAUGGGAGACGUUACAACUUACACCUCCCAUUUUUUAAUUAUUAUUAUUUAUUUUAUUUUAUUUAAUGUAGUAAAUGAGAUUGAUGAAACUGUAAGAUUACGUAUUCAUUUUUGGAUAUUAAAUUAAAUGUUUUUUUUUGUAAUUAAAGGCAUGUUUCCAGGAAAAUCAAUACGUUGACUCGUGUGUUAGAUAAUUUUCUUUUUUUACCUCAAUAAAAUACAAAAUAAUUUUAAAAAUUACUUUCUUCUAAAAUAUUUUACAUUCUAUUAUUUUUUCCUUGGAUUUUUUUUUCUUUGUUAGUGUUUUGCUUUACUAAUAUAUAUAUAUAUAUAUAUAUAUAUAAAAGAUAAAAAUUAAUGUCAUUUGAUAACUUAUUUCGAAAAUAAUUUUAAAAAAUAUUUUUUUUUAAAUUAUUUUUGAAAAUUUUUAUUUGAUUUUUGUAAAAUAAAAAUAUGUUUGGAAAUCUAAAGUAUUUUUUAUUUAUUGUAAAUAUAUUUUAAAAAUAAUUUUUAUAUUUACUAUUUUAUUUUUAAUUAUUUUACUUAUUUAUUGUAAUUAUUUCUUAAAAAAAUUCUUUAAAAAAUAAGUAAAAAAAAUUGAAAAUAACUAAAAGAAAAAUUUUAAAACACCUUGAUUUCUGUUUUUGAAAAUGAAAAAUACAAAAUAAUUUUUAGUUAUCAUACUUGUUUUUCAUAUUUUUUUUGUUUUGGAUAACAUAAAAUUAUUUUAAAAAAUAAUUUAUGAACAAACCCUAAAUUUUUUCCAAUUUGACGGUUAAAUCAAUGAUCCAUAUAAUAACGAAGUUUGAAAUUUGUUUAAUUUUGACUAAAUUUCUUCUAAUUGAAUCUCACCUCGAUUGAGGCUGAAUUUUUGGAUCCACAUUUGACCCUUCUGCCAAGAAAAAAUUUUCUCAUUUGCACAUGUUUAUGACUAAAAUUAAUUAAAAAAUAAUCCUAAAGCCUGGCUGCUAAGCUUCAAUCAAGCCAAAAAGUUGUUGAUUAUGUUUUAAAAUUCAAAAUUUUGGAGGAGAUUUCUUAGACCAAGUAAACCGAUGUCCAUGGAAAACCACUUCCCCGACAAACACGUACAAAUGAAUUUUUCAAGCAUUUUCCCGAGAAAAUUUAUAGGAAAUUUAUUUUACCGUUGUUUUAAUAAAUUAGGUGUGGGCCCAUAUUUAUUAGAUGUUUCCUCAUUCGAUGGUGAGAUGAAAAUAAAUAGAUAAAUCUUGAGCGUAUAUUUAUGUGAUUGUCGUAAAACUUAGAGAAAUUAUGUUAAUUUAAGGAGAGAAAUGGGUGGAUGGCAUGACGAGGCGAGGCCUAAGAGCCUGCCCAUAAUCAAUGAGAAGGUUAUAUUGGUUAGAGUAGGAGACAUUUUAAUUAGAAUAAUAAUAAUAAUUCAGAAAAUGAUGGAAUCACAUGGGAAAGGAGAGUAUUUAUUUAUAGCAUAAUUGUGGAGCAUGAAUCAGGCAGACAAAUGGGUUCAUUUGCCCCUCUGGCUUACACUUCAUUUCCACAUUCUCUCAAUAAAGCAAUGUUGAAUUUUUUUUUUUUUUUCAUUUUAAAAAAAAAUUUGGUGAAAUUUCACUUCAAUUCAUCUUUAUUCAAAUUAAAGUAAGUAGUGUUUGUAUUUUUUUUUUUACUUAAUUUUAAAUAAAACUUAAAACUAAAUAGUAUUUAAUAAUGUUAAACAUUAAUUUGUUUAUUUUUGUAAUAUCUUAUUUUUAUUAAGUAUUGAAAAGUAAAAAAAAACAUAAGUGGUUUGUUUGAAAACUGUUUUCAAAAAGUUUUUUAGAAUAAUUUUAAAAAAUUAUUUUAUGAUGUUUUAUAAAAUAGAAAUAUGUUUGAAAACUUAAAAUAUUUUAACCUAUUUUUAAAAAUAAUUUUUAUAUGUAAUAAUUAUUUUUUAAAAUAAUCCUUAAAAAUAAGUCAAAAUAACAUAAAACAAUUAAAAGAUAUUUUUUAAAAACACUUUAUUUUUUAUUCUUAAGAUCAUAAAACAUAAACAGUUUUUAAUUACCAAAUAUGUUUUUUUGGUUUUUUAUUCUGGAGAGCAUAAAAUUAUUUUGGAAAAUAGUUACCAAACGACCCUAACAUGUUACUUUUUUUAUUUAGAAAAAGUCAUAUAUUUUAGUUUUUAUAAUAAAUCAUGAAAAAGUGAAAAAAAUAAACAACUUAAAAUUUGAAAAUAAAUUGAUAAAAAAAAAACACCCUUUAAAAUUUACUAAAAAAUAUUAUAAAAAAGAAAAAAAAUUAAAAAUCCAAAAUUCUAGUUUAAUUUACCAUAGAGAUUUAUUUUAAAAUUUUAAAUAAAUUAAAAUAACAUGUGGAAAAAUAUUAAUUUUAAAUUUAAUUGUUUUUUUUUCAUAAAUUUAGUAGUAUUUUAUAUUUAGUAAAUAAAAAUUUUAGAAGAAAUUCAUUGAAGUAAAGAAAGAAAGAAAGAAAGAGAAGCAUGAUGAGGAAGAGGAUAAAAGGGAGGGUAGGUGAAAGGUGGGGAGAUGGAUUCUCUAUUCACACACUACUCAUCAUCUUUCACUUUCAUCUCUUUCCUUCUUUAUUAUUAUUAUUAUUUUUUUUUCAUAGCUCUAUUAUUGCUCCCAUCAAACACACUUUGGUUUACCCACCACCCAAAUCAAAAGAUCCCAGACAAAGUAAAGCACACAAAAAAAAGAGGAGGAAAUGGAUCACAACCCAUCUAACAUUAUGGAUUAAUUAAUGUGGAAAAGGCACUAAAUCCGUGGUUAGAGUCAAUAAAAAAAGCAUAAAAAUAGUAUUAAAUUGGGUAAAAAAAAGAAAAAAGAAAAAAGAAAAGAAAGAAAGAGGUAGAUGGAUGGAUGGAGAUGGGGGGAGGAUCAUGUGUCUUUGUGCUUCCCCUCUUUUAUGAGCAAGUGAAGGCACCUUGACUUGUGGGGGGGCUUUUCUUUAUCCUCUUUUCCCUUUCAUUCAACUUAAAGUUGAUUGCAUAUUUUUCAAUGUACACAAGGUGAUUUCUGCCCUCUUUUUCCUCCACUUACAGAAACGGGGAAUCUCCCCUUUUUUAUGUAGUUACAUAAACGGAGAAUCCCCCUUUCAUCAGUCAGAUGCAUGAGUCUGACAUGUUCAAAAGUAUGAGAUUCCCAAGAGAGAGAUGGUGAGAUAAUGAAUGAGGUUUUACUCUAAUUUUUAUUUUUUGAUCAUUUUUAUACCACAAACGAUGUUAUAUCGAGAGGUAAUUUCUCGGGUUUUUAGUAUAUUUAACAGUAUUUAUCAUUUAAUAGCGAUUUAAUCAUGUUGGGAAGUAACUAGAUCACAUUUGAAACGAAUAAAAGAAAUGAAAAUAGAGAAGAAAAAAAAAAAACAAAGAAUCUUUGAGAAAGAAGAGCGAAGUAGGCAUAGUAAAAAGUAGGUUUAUAGAAAUGUGGGGGGGAUGAAUGAGAUUCCCAAAGGGGGAGUGAUGGUGAGAGAAUGAAUGAGGUUCUCCACACCACACUACAGCAAAAGCCAAAAUGAAGCAAACAACACUUGGGUACUUCUGUGUGUCCUUUUUUUAUCUUUUUUUUCAAAUUAUUGGGAAGGGGAUAUUGAAAGUGGGUGUGACUAGUUAAUGUGGAAGUCCCAUUCACUAUCAUUAUUUCUUGUAUUGGAAACAUACCUUACUUGUAGGGAGGACACUUAUAAGGGAGGGCAGCUUUUGAUUUGUAGGUCUCUCUCUCUGCCCAUAUUUUGACUGUUAGGUUGAGACUUUGUUCACAAACAGCAAUCACAUUGACAGGGUGUGUAGGUCCAAUCACUCUGUCUUCUACAUUCUUCCUUCAUCUUUUAGCUUUUCCAUCCUUUACCAUAUCAUAUCUUUGUAUGGAUAAAUGUAUUUUACUAAUAUAUGUGAAGGCAAAGUAUUUCCUUUUUUUUAGUAAUUGGAUUUGGUAACAAUUGUUUCAAUAUCUAUACCAAACCAUCUCUCUAAUAUAAUAAAGGCUAUUCCAAAGUACCCACACCAAAUUCUUGACAAUAUAUGUACAUAGAGUAAUGAUAUUAAUAUUUAUUAUUUAAUGACUUAAGUUGAAUUUAAGUUAAAUUUUACUUAAAUUACUGACUUAAAAUUUAUUAUUUAAUUCUUAUUUUAAGUAUUAUAAAUGUUUGAUAAAAUUAACUUAAAACUUAUUUUAAAUCAUCAAAGUAAUAUAUUUGUCCUCAUAAAUUAUAAUCAGGAGAAAUGAGGUCAAGUAACAAUAAAGAUUAUGGAAUAAUCAAUAAUAUCGUGGAGGUAAAUAGGGCAAAUGAGGGUAAAAAGAUAAAAUGAAGAUGUAGACUUAAUAAUAAAUUAAUUGUUUUUACUUAUCAUUUAAAGUUGUUUUUAAUUUUAAGUCAUAUCAUUAAGUUAUUUUACCAAACAUAUUUAAUGACUUAAAUUAAGUUAUUAAGUUACUUUAAAUUAUUAAGUUGAGUUAUAGUCAUGUUUUAGAUUCGAUUAAGUUUUUGUUUAAAAUAAACAAUAUUUACACGGAUAAGAAUAAGUCAUUAUGCUCUAAAAAAAAUACUUUUAUAACUUAUAAAAUACAAAUUCAACUACCGCUUUAAAUGAUUUUUAAAGUUUUUUGAAAUGAUUUUUAAAAUCUUAUUAAAUACAUAAUUUUUAUAAAUAAAAAUAUUUCAAUAUUGGUUAGCACUUCUAAUCCUUUUUAAAUGGGUAUUAAAGCAUUUCUCAAAUGUGAACAAAUUACUUCUAAUUAAUAAAUGAUUACCUUUCUACUUGGUCAAGAUAUACCUUAAAUAUGCAAUGCAAAAUACUCUUUUAAUAAAUUUAGUGACAAGGAAACAACCUAUAUUUAUAUAAUUUUUUCUUAAUAUCCAAUUAAAUUUAUUUUAUUUUUACCAUAUAUUUAGAGCCCGUUUGGCAGUGAUUUUUAAAAGUGUUUCUACCCUUAAAAACAUUUUUAAGUGUUUUUGGGAUGAAAAUAAAGUGUUUGGUAAAUUUUAAAAAACACUUUUGAAAAUCUGGAAAAACACUUGAAGUGAUUUUUAGAGAAUCACUUGACAGGUGUUUUUUUAAAAAAAACACUUCAAUUUUUUUGAAAUAUUCCAAAAAUGCCCCCCAGUGAUUCCCAAUAUCUUUCUUCCCUUUCGUUCAUAUCUCUCUCCUUUAUUAUUAUUUUUAAUUAGAAAAAUCUUUUUUUUUUUAGAAAUUAAUAGGUGGUCAUAUAUUGUUUUACUUUUAAAAUUAUCUUUUAUUCAAUGUUUUUUUUUUUAUUGAUUUAGAUGUUUUUUGUAAAUAUUUUUUAAAAUUUUAGUAUAGUGAUAAAAAAAUUAUUAUUUUUAAUUAGAAAAGUCUUUUUUUUUUUUUAGAAAUUAAUAGGUAUAUAUUGUUUUAAUUUUAAAAUUAUCUUUUAUUCAAUGUUAUUUUUUUAGUGAUUUAGAUGUUUUUUCAUUAAUAAAAAGUUUUUUUGUUUAUCAUACCAUUUUUUUUAAUUAAAAUUGUAUGUCCUUUUUGGUAAUUUAUUAAUAUUAAAAGUGUUUUUAUAUUUAUACAAUAUAUUAUCAAAAACACUUUAGAAUCAUUUUUUCUGAUUAUCAUAAAAGUGUUUUUCACAUAAACACUAUAGUAGAAAACACUUCAAAUAAAAACACUUCCACUAGAAUCACUACCAAACAGGCUCUUAGUGUAAAGAAAUCAAAUAGGAAUGAUAGGGGUUUUUUUAUAUACUCAUAUAAAAAAAAUUAUAAAAUAAGAACCUAAGUUUAUAAAAAUACAAAUUUUAAACAAUUAUCUAAAAAUAAUUAACAUUUCAUGUACUUUUUUAUCAAAUGUACUACCUUUAACCAUUCAGGUACUAUCAUUAAAUGAUAUAGGUACUACCUUUAAUCAUCUUAAAUAUUACCUUUAAUCUAUGUGUACAUGAAACUUGAAUUAUUUUUAGAAUGUUCAUAUUUUGUAAUUAUUUUUAUAUGAAUAUAUGAAAACAUAUUUUUUUUCUAUGUCCAUUUAAAGUACGUUUGAUAAUGAUUUUAUGAAGUAUUUCUAGUUUUUUUAAUACUUAAAAUUUUUUAUCUUUCAAGUAUUAAAAAAUUAGAAACACUUUCCAAAAUUACUGUCAAAUAUACUCUUAGAUUUCUUUUAUCUUUGUCAUAUAUUAGGGCAUAGAAAACAAUUGGUCAUGAUAUAAGCUAAUUCAUGGUUUAAAAAAAAUGUGGACAAGAAAAUAUGAAAUGAAAAAUGGGUUUGGGGUUAAUGAAAAUUUUCUAGGGCUUGAAAGUGAAUAACUUUUUAAAUAAUUUCAAAUAUAAAUUUAUUUUAUAUUUUUUUUUAAGAAAAAUAAAAAGAGAUAUUUUUCUUUUUCAUAAAAGGAUCGAAAAUUGACUAUAUGUUAAAAAUAUAUGAUAUAAUUAUAUUAUUGGGCUUGAUACUUUUUAUAAUCUAAAUUCAUUUGAUAAUAAUUUAUAUUUAGUGAGCUAAAGGCCAAAACUAUCAAUUCAUACAAAUUUGUUUUUUGUUCCCCUUUUUCAAAUAUCAAAUGAUAAAGAUAACCUUAUCUUCUCAAUGUUUUAGUUAAUAUUAUCAUUGCAUUUAUCCUUAAAAAGGAAAUAUAAUUAAUAUUCUUAGAUAAUAGAUUCCAAAAAUAACCUCUUUUUUCAAAUAAAAAAUAUUUUUUAUUUUUUAUUUCUUGCUUUUUCCCAACUUACAAUUUAUAUAAGGGAGUGUUUGGAGUAUUGAAAUUGGAUAAGCAAAAAGUAAGUUCAUUUUAUUUCUCAUUUAUUAUUAUAUGUAGAUUAGUUAAUAUAACAAGAAUAUGAAUCGAAACUUCAUUCCCGUGGAAUUCAAAACUUAUGCAAUGUUUAGUAAUUGUUUUUAAAAGUGGUUUUUUAGAACAAUUUUUGAAAAUUAUUUUUUGAUUAUCUAUCAAAUAAAUGUCUUUGAGAACCAUAUAUUUUUUUUAAGUUUCUAUAUUUUAAAAUAUGUUUUAAAAAUAAUUUAUAUAUAUAUAUUUAAUAAUUCUCUAUAUUUGUAUAAUUAUUUUUUAAAAUAGCAUUUAAAGAACAAAUGAAAAUAACUAAAAAAAUGUUUUCUGAAAACACCAUAUUUUUUAUUCUUAAAAAAAAAAAAUUGUUUUCUAAUUGUCAAACGUAUUUUUUUAAAAAUAAAAAAUAAAAAACUAUUUUUAAAAGCAAUUACCAAACAAACCCUUACUCUUUUUAAGAUUUUGAUUCAUUUAUUACAUGUAGUAAUUUGAAUAACUUUCCAUCUAAUUUUCAUUUCCAUCUCUACUUUCCAAACACACCUGAUUUUGAUUUAAAUAAAUUUAAUCCAUAGAGGGCUAGCCUUCAACCCUAUUCUCAUGUCACCCACAUGAUUGAUAGACAAUCAAAUUUGGACCUAAGCCAAAGACAAAUCAUGGAAAGAAAACACAAUUCAUGUUUAUGAAGUUUGGAGAACGUCAUUUUCACAAUAUGUAAUGUGUGAAACCAAACACAACCCCACUUGUAUUUCACAUGUUUGAUGUGUUUUUCAAGUGGGCAACCAAAUUAUUGCCAUCUUGACGGUUUUUCUUCAUUUAAAUUUUUUUUUUAAUGUUUUUCCUUUAAGCCUAAAAAGGAUGAAAUCAAUUCAUUUACUUAUUAUUAACAUAAUCAUAGCUUUAUUUGACCUCCACCUCCCCUCAAUCUAAUACUACAAAUCAAGAAUGUGAUGGAUAUUUUGAAAGUUUUAUGAUAAUUAAUUAGAAGACUUGGGCUCUCAAUUAUUGAAUUAUUAAAUUAUUGAAUCAUAGUCUAAUUUUGACUUAUUUGAGAUUUGAAACCAAAGUAGGAGCAUAGAUAAGAUGCUAAAGGUAAUGGGACACGUAAUGCAUGUGGAAUUUGGUAGGUGUGACAUUUAUUUAAUUUGGGUGCAUACAUUAUGGGCAUUUGAUGUAACAUAUGAUCAAAUGUGUAUCAAGGAAAAAAAAAUGUAAUUAUUGUGAUGGUAAACAAAGAAGAGAGUGUUUAAGUCUUUUCAUAAGUGACAAAUGAUAAAUAUUUUAUUCAUUUAAGCGAAUCAAAUUUAUUAUAUUUUUAUUAGAUGCGUCUAAAAAUCUUUAUGUCACUCAUGGUCGGUUUGACUCUUAAAAAGUUUGAUGAAAAUCAUGAGAGAAAAAAUAGAUUAAAAGAUAACAGAAAAAUAAAAAAUAAAUGAGGGUUUAGUAAAACUUAAUAUUUUCUGCUUAAUGAUAUAAGUUGAUUUUAAGUUAAAUUGUUAUCAAAUAUGUGUUUGGUAAACUAACUUAAUAACUUAAAAGUGACUUAAUAAAUUAAUUUAAGUUAUUAAGUAGGUGUGACAUUUAAUUUGGAUGCAUACAUUAUGGGCAUUGUGAUGUAACAUAUGAUCAAAUGUGUAUGAAGGAAAAAAAAAAAUGUAAUUAUUGUGAUGGUAAACAAAGAAGAGAGUGUUCAAGUCUUUUCAUAAGUGACAAAUGAUUUUUUUUUUUUUAUUUAAGCGAAUCAAAUUUAUUAUACUUUUAUUAGAUGCGUCUAAAAAUCUUUAUGUCACUUAUGGUCGGUUUGACUCUUAAAAAGUUUGAUGAAAAUCAUGAGAGAAAAAUAGAUUAAAAGAUAACAGAAAAAUAAAAAUUAAAUGAGGGUUUAGUAAAACUUAAUAUUUUCUACUUAAUGACAUAAAUUGAUUUUAAGUUAAAUUGUUAUUAAGUAUGUGUUUGAUAAACUAACUUAAUAACUUAAAGCGAUAUAAUAAAUUGAUUUAAGUUAUUAAGUAGGUGUGACAUUUAUUUAAUUUGGGUGCAUACAUUAUGGGCAUUGUGAUGUAACACAUGAUCAAAUGUGUAUGAAGGAAAACAAAAUUGCAAUUAUUGUGAUGGUAGACAAAGAAGAGGGUGUUUAAGUCUUUUCCUAAGUGAAAAUGAUAAUUUGUUUAUUGAAGUAAAUAAAAUUUAUUAUACUUUUAUUAAGAUAUGUCUAAAAAACUUUGUCACUCAUAGUCGGUUUGAAUCUUAAAAAGUUUGAAGAAAAUCAUGAGAGAGGAAAAUAGAUUAAAAGAAAAAAGAAAAAGAAGGAAUAAAUGAGGAUUUGGUAAAAUUUAAUAUUUUCUACUUAAUGAUAGAAGUUGAUUUUAAGUUGUAUUGUUAUUAUGUAGGUGUUUGUUAAACUAACUUAAUAAUUUAAUAACUUAAUUUAAUUCAUUAAAUAAGUUAAGUAUGUUUGGUAAAAUAACUUAAUAAUAUGACUUAAAAUAAAAAAUAACUUUACAUAAUAAGUAAUAUGACUUAAAAUAAAUAAAUAAACAACUUUAAAUAAUAAGUAAAAACAAUUAACUUAUUCUUAAGUUCAUAUUUUCAUUUUCUUACCCUAAUUACCUUUACAAUUUUCUUUGUUACUCCACGACCUCCUCUAUUACUUGACCUCUUUUGCUUAAUUAUAAUUUAUGAAGAUAAAUAUAUGAAUUUAAUGAUUUAGAAUAAGUUUUAAGUUAAUUUUAUAAAAAAAAACCUUAAUACUUAAAGUAAAAAAUAAGUAAUAAGUUUUAAAUCCACAACUUAAAUAUAAUUUAAUUUAAAAUCAACUUGAGUCAUUAAGUAAUAAUUAUUAAGUUUUAUCGAACACCCUUAAUUCACUUAAAACUUAUUACUUAUUUUUUAUUUUAAGUAUUAAAGUUGCUUGGUAAAGUUAAAUAAAAAUUUAUUCUUAACCAUUCAAUUGACAUAUCCACCCUUAUUAAUUUAAACUAGUAAUUAUAUUUUUAUUAAUCUUAAGCAACAAAUUUAUUUAUUAAAUAUUCAUAUUUAAAGUAUUGUAGAUACAUAAGAUGACUAAAAAAAAUAUUUACUUUUUAUGAACAUAAUAUCAUAGUUGUAAAAUAUACUCUCAUUAAACAUAAGUAAAUAAGGUAAAAAAGAUUUUAAAUUAAAAAUAAGAUAAUUAUUUUAACUUAAUACUUAAAGUUAUUUUUUUAUUUUAAAGUUAAGAUAUUAAAUUAUUUUAUUAAGUAUGCUUAAUUUACUUAAUGACUUAAAUUAAACUAUUAAAUUAUAUUAAUUCAUUAAAUUGAUUUACCAAACAUCCUCUAGAUACGAAACUCAAAGUUUAAACCCUUUGGACCGAUAUUAUAAUACAAACAAAUGAGAUGUAAGUGCAACCAAACAAGAGUUAUAUUCAAAUAAAUGAAACUUAGAGUGUGUUUGACAGUAUUAUGAGAAGUAUUUCUAGUCUUUCUAAUACUUGAAAAAUAAAAAUUUUCAAGUAUUAUAAAAGACUAGAAACACUUUUCAGAAUCACUACCAAACGCACUUUUAGAGUGCUUUUGACAUUAAUUUUAGAAAAUAUUUUUAGUCUUUGUAAUACUUAAAUAAUAAAAAAAUUUAAAUAUUAGAAAGUUAAAACUGCUUCCUAAAAUUACUACUGCCAAACGGGCUCCUAAUCAAGAUACAAACAAUUGAAACUAUUUUUAUUUUUUACUAUAUGGUAAUGGUUAAUCUGAUUGACCACCACUUUUCCAUAUCCAACCGAAAAACUACCACUUUUUUGCACCACAGAGAUAGAAUGACCAUUUUUCAAACACCCUCUUGGUUAAAAAAAUCCAUUCAAGAACCACUCAUUUUGAUUUUGAAUUUUUUUUUCCCCUUUUGGUAAGACUAUACAUGUUGCACUCGGAAAUCUUUUGAUUAAAGAAUCAAUGAAAACUGAAAACAUAGUGAUGUGAUUGAGGAUUAGUUCUAUGAAACUAUCCACUAAAAAAAGAUAGCCUAGAACAGAGCCCAAUAAAGAAAGCAAGCUUAGAGUCGGCAAUGGGAUGGAUUCAUCAAUGUGGAGUCUUUUACAAUACCUAACUCAAACCCCACCCAUCUAAUAAAUGUAUAAUUUAAUAAUAAAAAAAAAACAUCCUUGUCUAUAUUUGAAAAUAUUACACUAAUGAAUCUAAAAAUCCAAAACAUCACUGAUUUUCCCUCUCAUCAUGUCCCAUCUGUCAAAAAAAAAAUAUUGAAAUGACAAAACCUCAUUUGUAAGAAGGCAAAGAGGUUUUGUUUUGGGCUUCCCUUUUUUUCUUUUUUUUUUUUCUUUUUUUUCAAUUUUUUUUUUCUUCUUGUUCCUUGCUCUUCUCAACCAACAAGUCAAAAACAUCUUCAUGUUUACUUAUCAUAAAUCAAUCUGGGGUAUUUGUAAUCAAUUAUUUUGAUCUUUGAUUUCAGGAUUAUGUUCUUUGAACAUUGGCUUUUGUGGGUUCUUGUUCCUCAGUACCCGUUCCAAUGAAUGAGAGCCCACACCACAUGCAUUUCUAGAUUCAAUUUUGGACAUGGAGACUAAAUUAGCAUAGGGGCCAUUUUUCAAAUUUCUAUUUGUAUGUAAACAACUUUAUUCUACAUCAAGAAAACAUAGGAUCUCCAUUUCAAGAGUUGGGUUCAGAUGAACUUGGAUGUUCCAAAUAUAACUGCAGACAAAGAGGUUCAGUAGUCAUUGAUUUGAUAGGAGAUAUUACUGGAGGCGUCUGCCACUGCUUAGUGUCUGUUGGGAUCCAUACCUCUGCAUCUUUGCUCCUACUUGCAUCAGGAAGAGAAUGGAAGUAUGCUGUUAUCUCCCAUCUGCAAUCUGCUAAAAGAAGACCAUCUUCAAAACCUGAUUUCGAUAUCUACAAAAAUAAAGCCCAUUUUGUUUGGCAUAACUUUCUGGUUGAUUGAAGUUUUUUCCGCAUAUUAAAAGAGCUUUACAAUGUGUUUGAUUACAAACUACAAAGUUUUAUUCUGUGUAAAAUCUCUUUUUGUAGUUAAAGGUGAGUUGCUUUGGUAGAGAGAGGAGUUCUGGAAUGGGGUUUCAGAUUUUAAAAAAUUUCACAUAUCAAGUAAAAACCUAGCUUCAUGUAUAUCUUUCAGGAAAAACUUUCCCUGGAGGUUGCAGUUGUGCCAGAAGGGCCUUAAGAUGGGGCAAAAAGAACACAACUAACACAUAUUAGAUAUCUGGUUAACACCAGAGAAUUUGGUAGAACCAUGCAUAUCUAGCAAAUAAGCCGCUCAAUUAAUCAACCGAGCAUUCAACAAAAUAUGGCAAGGAUCAAUUAGACAUAUUUUAAGUUUUGGAAUAUUAAAGACUGAAUUAUGGACCUAAUUGCUUAUAGUUUUCACUUACCCCUGGGGAGAGCCUUAGUGAGGGUUUCUGAUACAGGAAGCUUGAUCAAGAACGACCUGAGAGAGAACUCCAGGGCAGCUUCUUCUACUUUUGAGUCAUACGAUUGGUUCACUGCAAGCUUGAAUAUGAAUCUCUCUAUGGGAAUGUUGUCAACAUUGAAGAAAAUAACUGCUACUCUCUCCACCAAUCCCUAGUUUGUAAAACAAGACGUUUAGGAUUCAGUGGAACUGCAUGGCACAUAACACAAAAUUAUAAUGAAAAGAUCAUUUGCCUGCAUAUGACAUUGGCAGAGAUAGUUGGAAGUGUCAAACAUUAGUAUUGUUCUUAAUCGUUCUUUAUCAGAAAAAGAAAUCGGCCAUCUACGGAUCAAGCAAAUAUCUUCAUGGAGACUAGCAACAGGAUAUCACUGUAUCUGUGCAAUACUAUAUAAAGUUUCCAGCAUAAAUGCAUUAGGAUCUGAACAAUAGCUUCUGCCUGGAUAUCUAACCAAGGUCAAUCUCAUCAUUUCUUGAAAAUAUUUCUAGAAGCAACAACAACAAUCAGUUCGACAAUCCCUCAAAUUAUAACAAAUUCUAGGUUUCACUUGUUUAGUGAUUUUGAUAGUAUGCUGGUGGAAUUACUGGUCUGCCAACACAUUUCAGUCCCAAGAUAUCCUAUUGGUUAUACAAUUUAAAAUCUGCAACCAAAUGGUAAAUUCAUCCUUAAUGAAAAGGAUAGCAAGCUCAUUUAAUUAGCUAUAGGGAUCUCCAUUAUUUAAAAAGGAAACUUUUAAAACUUAUUCUCAAAAAAAAAAAAAAAACAAAAAAAAAAAAAAUCAUUUCAAGCUAAUUCUAGGAGUCUGUAUUGCUGAAAAGAAAAAAUAAAAUAAGUAUAUAUCCAUAGUUGAAAAAGCCUUUCUUUUAGGUGCUUCCUAGUAUAGAAAAAUGCACUAUUCUUCAAGAAAGGAUUUGUUCUAAAAAUAUUUCAAACACAUAAAAGGUUCAAAAUUGGUCAUUUUAAUAGUUAAACUAUUUUUAUGAUUAGGAUUUCUUCAUAAACAAUAAUAAUUUUUUCAUUGAUGAGCUUUUCAUACACCACUGCAGCUUAUUUGGUUCAGAAUGAUUUGCCAAAUGUAAAUUAGUAGUACGAAUGGUUCAUACAAUCCACCAAAAGUCAUUUGUUCAGGUAUGACCUAUAUGCCUUUACAAUUAAACUCUAUUUUACCUGAUAAGCUUUUCCAUACUCCACAGAUUUAUACGUAUCUGAGAAUUUUACCAAAGUCAAUACAAACACCACAUAUAAUCAAUCAAAACCCAUUUGUUGGGUGAGACUCAUUUCUAAAAAAUAAUUUUCUUCUAAGACAUUCUACCCAUAUCUAUGGACUAUGGGUUUUAUUUUUCUAACUUAUUCCCCCAGUUACCUAUGUGAUGCAGUUCUCUUCAUUGGAUAAUAGAAGAGUGAAGCAUCUGAAAUUACUUAUCAGCCUACUCUAGACUCAUGUAGCAUAGCACAAACAGCUCAUUCACAACACUCCAAGCUGCCACACUGACUUAAAGAAAUGAUCAGUAUUGACAUAAGUUCAAUCAGGUCUCUAUUGCAGUCACAAUAUCAAAAGAUUGCUUCUAAGAUUAAGCAUGCAUUUGAAAGCCCACAUCCAACAGGAACCAAAUAGGUUUCAUUCAGCGUACUAUACCAUUUAAACCAAAAAUUAAGGUUUUUGGAGAUCAGAUAAAGAAAUAUAGGGGCCUUGUGCAUACAAGAAGCCACCAUAAAAACCCAUCUUAUUUGAUGCCACUAAGGGCCUAACACAAGCGACCUCUCUUAAACCCUAGUAAAACCCAAUUGCCCCAAUCUUCCAGCACUCAUUCCCUUAUAUUUCUUUCGUAUCAGCAUUAAAUACCAUUGUUAGAUACUUCCUUAGUCACAUAUCACCAGAUUCCCUUUUUUUUAUGAGACAACAAAAGCAUAUAUGAAGAAGCACCAAAAAGAGGGGGUGCACCCUUAUAUAUACAGGCUGUACACAAAAGACAUCACAAUACAAGCACCAAACAUAUACAAGGCUAACCUACAAAAACAAGCCAAGCUAUCCACAAGGAAGAGCAUCUAAGAAAUCCAAAUUAGAAGGUUUCUCCAUUUUCAAUGAAGCAUGGGACCACUCUAAUAAUGAUUUAAUGAAGAACUUCUUCAGUCUUUGAUCUAAGAGCUCUUCAUUAUUGAAAAUCCUUUGGUUAUGCUCUUUCCAAAUACACCAAAAUAAGCAAAUUGGAGCCACAUGCCAAACAAUUCUUCUCUUUUUAUCUAGCUCCUUAAAUUUCCAUUCAAGGAAGAGGUUUUUCACUGAAACCAGAAACACCCAUUUCAAGCUAAAGACUACUAACAAAAAGGUCCAUAGCACUCUUGUCUUAUCACAAUGAAUCAAGAUAUGAUCAAUUGAUUCCUCAUUGUCUUUACAAAGGAUGCAUCUAUUGACCAUGGAUUAUCAACUAUUCAUUAACAUAUUUGCAGUUAAGAUCUUCCCCCAAACAACUUCCCAUGCAAAAAAAAAAAAAAAAAAAAACGUUGUAAGGAGAGCUUGGGAUCCCCAAAUCUCUUUGGUUGGGAAUACUAAAUUGCUCUUAGCACUUAAGGAUCUGUUGGACAACUUGACACUGAAAUUUCCCCUCCUAUCGUCAUUCUAAAGUAAAGUGUCCUCUCCUUCUUGCACUUUCAAAGGUUAAAUACGCUCCAAAUAUUGGGUUAACAUUUCUAUUUCCCAAUUUUGGAAGGGUCUUCUAAAUUGAACCUCUCAAUGGCCACCUCUACCUCCUCCUCUAUCCCAUAAAUCUGCAAUUGUAUCAUUUUUGGAGGAGGCUAUUCUAAAAAGCGUAGGGAAUGUGUCCUUUAACUUAAACACCCCCCACCCAUCUAUCCCACUAAAAUUUAGUACAUCUAACACUUAUGAUUCAGAUAGUUAAUCUGAGACUGAAAUCUUCUCAACCUUUUCUCAUGUCUUCUAUAGGCUCAUCCCAAAAGGAUCCCUCACCCCUCGGGCAAUCCAUCCCUCCUCCAUCUCUCUAAAUUUUCCAUGUAUAAUCUUCCUCCACAAGAUCCCGCUCAAAAGAAAACCUCCACAACCAUUUGCUUAACAAGGCUUGAUUAAGGCCCUCUACUUUUCUUAGACCCAGCCCUUUGUACUUCUUAUCCUUAUAAACGUCUAACAAAUUUACCAAGUGGAUUUUCAUUUUCCCCCCGUAUCACCCCACAAAAAGUCUCUUUGACUAUGUAUCUUUCUUUUUUCCGUCGUAUCACCUCACAGUAUAAGAGAGAUUUCAUACUCUUUAAUUUUCUGUAAUCUAAUAGAUUGGGAGGUUUGAUAGAGAUAAAUCACUGUAAUUUUGGCAAAUACACAGUCAUUAAUUAAAAAAAAAUAUUGCAAAUAGAACAUAUGCAAAAUAAUCUCAAAACCACAGCAACCAUUGCUACAUUGGAUCAUGUCUCAAGGAGAUUAUUUCACUUUAGAGACGAAAUUGGCUUCCCAAACUUUAACCCAUAACAGUAGAUCACCUCAAAAUCAUCUCUAUUAUGCAUUGGUAUGCAAAGCAGGCUCCAUUGCCUUUUCAGAAAAUUACAAAUCAGCCUAUUUGUUCAUCAAAAUCUGGGAAGUUCCCAUUGUUGAAGUGAAAAGCAAAGAUAGAGGAUUAGGGGAAGGGCAGAGGAUGGUAAUCUAAGAUCACCAAGAAAAACGAUUACAAUAAUAGCGUCACCACAACCACUAUCACCAUCCACAUCAUCAAUAACAAGAAACAUCAACCAAUACGUCAAAGGAGAAUUCAAAGGUUUUGUAGGUUUAAAAGCCCAACUACAUUCUUGUUUGAGUACAUCAUGGCCUAGCCACUGAUAGCCACAGCUUAGCUGAAAGACUAGGUAGGAAGUUCCAACUUUCAAGUUCCUCCCCAUCACUAGAUACCCAUACCUGGAGUUUUAUUUCUGCUCAAAACCGUCUCUUUAGACACCAUUUUAGCCUUCUGAUUUGCAAACAAAAUCAUACAUUCAAAAUGAUUUUAAUGGAACUCAUGUUUUCUAGACAUGACUUUCCAUUAACAUUGUAACUUGAAAACACACUUCAACUUAACCUCCACUGACCAUACCUCUCACUCAGUACAUCCAUGUGCUGUCAGCAGCCUGCAUGGCAGAAACUGCCACCAUUCAGAAUUAUUUUGGGGACUUCCAUUUUUUGCAGUUCAUUUCAAAUUGCCACAUUUGUUUUUAAAACAGAAAAAUAUCCUAUAUCAUUUGUGUACUUCGAGUUGAGCACAGGUACAUGUGUGCACAUCUAAACUCUUGAACUUAUUUGGUCUUCUUCUGUAUCAUGAUGCGGAAUAAAGUGUACAUGUAACAAACAACCCCCCACAUUGAAGCUUUGCCCAUUACUAAACAUUUUAGUGGACAUUGCAAUAGAUUUAGAAAGUGUACAAGGACCUUCACAGAACAUCAUUUCCUUAUCUUCCUUUUAUGCCCUAGACUCCUAUUAUUGGCAAAAAUUCGAAAGUGACAUCAUGUGGGCAUUCCAAAAACAACAAGAAAAACAAAAUUCUCAUCUUUAAUAAUGUAACAUAUCACAUAUGGGAAUUCCAAGAACAACGUGGAGACAAAAUUAUAAUCUUCAACAAUGUAAAAUAUAUCAUUUGGACGCUCUGAAAAUAACAACAAAAAUAAAAUUUCAUCAUAAAUAAUAUAUAAUAUAUUUUUGGGCGUUCAGAAAACAAGAAAACAAAAUUUUCAUCUUCAAUAAUAUAGCAUAUAUCAUAUGGGCAUUCCAGAAACUAAGAAGGAAAAAAAAUAGACUAAAUAAACAGAAGGGGAAAAAAAAAAAAAAAAGCGCUGACCUUUUGGAUAAAAGGAAGAAGUCCAGAGACAGCAGAGUGGAUGUAGUCUCUGAGCUGAGGAUGGCGAGCCCUCUGAACCACCGCAUUCAUAUAUCUCCUUCUCUCAAAUGCGCCUGCACACCCACCACAAUUUUUGCGAAAGUUCAGUCAGGCUUGUUUGGUUGGAGAGAAAAGUCAGGUAAAUAAAGGAAAUUACACCGAAAAAUGCAAGGAGAACUUAAUCCCACUUGGCCAAAACAGUGGGUAUUAAGCAGAAUUGAAUAAUGAAAAUGUAAGACUCAAAAUUUUGAUUCAUUUGAUUUUCUCAAGUUCUCUUGGAAACCAUACAGAGAAGUGUAAGGCCCGAGGAUAAAAUCCUUUAAGAAAUGCAACAGGAAUUCCAAUUACCCUUGUUUGAUUGCCCAGAAAACAGAGGAAAAUAAAAGAAAAUUUACAUAAAUUCAUAUUUGAACUUCUCUUAAUGGAAAAUGAGAAGAGAAAAAGAAAAGAAAGACAACACCCGAACCCACUUUGGGAAAAAUAGUGGGUAUUGCCCAGAGAUGAAAAGCAGAAAAUCUAAGACUCAAAAAGUUAGAUUAUAUUUGAUUUUUCUCAAGUUUACUUGGAAACCAAACAAAGAAGCCAUGAAAUGGGUUUAUUUAUUUACCAGAAGGAUAAAUUCCUUUGAGAAAAACGAUUGAAGUAAUGGCGACCUCUAAAAAUUCCACAAGAAUGCGAGCAGUCUCAUUUUGCGGAGAUUGAUUCUCCCUUCUCUCCAUCACCAUGAAUCAAUCAACCAAGCUCUCCAGAGAAAAAGUCAUUUGAAAAUGAAACGGGAGUGGCUUGCAAAGGAAAAUAAGCAAAUGAAAUUAAAAAAGCACCUUUGUAAUUCAACUUCUCCAUUUUUUUUUUCCCUUGGGCUCCUUUAACCAACUAGCCCAAGUCCAAGACAGAUAGGCCCGGCCCGGUACAUUUCUUUCCCUGUGUUGGAAGUUGUGUUGUAAAAUAAAAAUUAUAUCUCAAUAUUUUCAUUUAAAAAGUAUGAAAUAUCUUUUAUACUUAGUAUUAUUUUAAAGUUGUUCUAUAAUUUAAAAUUUAAUAAGUAAUUUUUUAUUUAUUUAUUAAUAAUAUUCAUAAUUAAAAUAUUUAAGAUUUAUAAAUAAAGAAUGUUAUAUUAUGUUAUUUAAUAUAUAAAAACAAUUUGCAUAUAUUAUGUUGGGGUUGGGUGGGUGCCUAAGUUGGGUUGACCCAACCCGAUCGAAUCAAAUAAGAGAUGAGGGGAGUAGUUUUUGAAAGUUGGAACUACGAGAAAUUACCCAAAAACCACCCUCAUAAAAAUAAAAUAAAAUCUCUCUUUUUUACUUUUUUUUUUAGGAAAUAAAAUAUCGAGAGAAGAGCAAUGAAUAGGCCGGUGAAACAACUAUAUAUAUAUUUCCUAUAUUUAUUUUUUAUAUUCUCCACUUCUCAUUGUUGGAGCAUUUCAAAAUAGUAAUCCAAAGUUUUCUAAUAUAUUAAAUAUUAUAUCUAUUAGUAAUGUUAUACAUGUUUUUAAUUAUUUUCUUUUAAUUACAAAUUUAGUUUUUAAUCAAAACUUAUAUUUCAUAAAGUAAGUAACGUAAAAAAAAAGAAAAAAAUUAAUGAAAAUAAUAAAUUUAUGAACCAUUAGCUAUACAUAUAUGAUAUUUUAAUUAAAUAAAAAUAAAAAUGAAAAUAAAUUUGGAUGAAAUUUUAUAACUUUUUCUCCAAGACCAUUCAAAUAUAUAUAUAUAUAUAUAUAUAUAUAUAUAUCUUUUGUUUUUUCUAUUUUUCAUGGUUAACCAAGGAAAAAAGAAAGGAUAUAUUGAGAAAUUAUUCUUAAAAAUGAAAUACAAAAUAAUCAUCCCACUAUAAAAUCACGCUCGACAAAUUUUAGGCUAUAAUUGUCUUGAAAACCAAGUAAUUUCGAAUAAUUUGAAGUAUUUUUAUUGCUUUUACAAAAACGUCGUAAAAGAGGAUUAAAAGCCCAGAGAGUAAAUUGAAAAUUUGCAUUUUAUGUUAUAUAUUAUUAUGAGUUUCUAAACAAAAUUUUAUUUCUCAAAACAACUAAAAAUCAUUUCACAAUGUAUUUCCAACUUUCCCUAAAUCCAUGCCCUGAAAAAUGAAUCAAUAGAUUCAAUACUUUCUACUCAAAAGGGUAUGGUUGAUUCCACUGGGUGAACACACUCCAAAAACCAACUCCUACCAUCCCAAAUGUUCAUCACAAGCCACAGGCCACCAACCAAAUAGUCGACUAAGGUUCCCCUCCCCCUUUUUGAAGGAGACCCCAUCAUUCCUUUAUUCCUCUGACCAUGCACUUUGACAGAGAGCGUAUUAGUUCAUAUUCUUGUAUUCAACCACAAGUUCUUCAUAUUCCAAGCACCAAGUAUCUCAUCAUCUUUAUCCUCCACCCAGCCACCACAUCAGAAUCCGAUCUUUCUAAUUGCAGUAUAUCUAUAAUCUACUAGUGUUUUGUAAAUCAAUAAGAAAAAAGUGGCUUCACCACCUCUUUCACCUGCUCUGUUGACCCAAACCAAGCAACCACAAUAAUAGGAAGCAAAACUGAUGAGAACUGGUGAUCAACCACUAAUGAUGAGCACCAUCAGUCAUGUUGUCCUUAGUACCUGAGUUCAUUUUCAAUCUUCCACCAAGCAAAAAUAUCACAACACAAUAGGUAGAAUCCAAUCAAAUAGAAAAACAUUCAACCAUGGUUUAAGAAAAAAAAUAGUAUCAUCUCUCCAAACCAAUGUUGGUUGAAAUAGUUCCACGACAAAACCAUAUAGACGAGAUAACAUUAACUUUGCUGUUCUUGUCAACCAUGACUAAAUUGAAAACAUAAUUUGAAAAAACGGGAAACAUCCCCCGUUACAACUUCAACACCACUAAAGUACUACUACUCCACGGUAAAAAUAUUAAUGAAAACAAAACAAAAUUAUGCUCACCUUGAGUAUCAUCGUCACAUUCCACCAAUAUGGUCCUCUUUUGCUUUAUUUGACAAUGAUCACGGACCACUUAUAGCUUGUCCUCGAACUCAGAUAGCGGGGUCAUCUGCUCCUUCAAGCCCUUCCUUUUUCUGAUAUCUGCUACAAGUUGAGCAGCAGUUGAACCAGCUUCAAGCGGGUCAGCUGACAUUACGUCCCAGUGAUCAAACACACACUGUGGGAACGCCUGUCCUGAGGUUGCAGCUCUCAAAGUGCCUGAAAAUCCAAAGGAUUCGACGACAGGGAGGUAUGCCUUGAUGUUGUAGAGUGGGGUACCCGGCCUCUGCAUUUCCUCGAAUACAUGCCCACGCUUUUGGUUCAGAACACUAUAGAUUCCACCAAGUGCCUGCUCUGGGGCUUGGAUCUCCACCAAGUAGACUGGCUCAAGGAGUCGGGGUUUAGCUGUCAGCUGGGAAGCAUAGAUGACCCUCCUAGCAGUGGGAAUGACUUGACCACCACCUCUGUGAAUUGCAUCAGCAUGGAGGACCACAUCACAGACUUCAAAGCAAAUACCCCUCAUGUUUUCUUCAGCCAAUGCACCUUCCUUUGAUGCCCACUGGAACCCAGCAACAACAGAAUCCUUAAUUUCAUUAAGAUACUGAACUCCCUUACACAUAUCAACCACCAUGUUAGGGCCAGUGGUCUCAGGUCCAAAACACCAGAUUUUCUUUGCAAGAUCCUUGUCCCAACCAAACUCCUCAGACAAGAUCUUGGAACGAGCUUUGGGAUCAUCCCUUGGACCAACACGACCAUCGUCAAUGGCCUCUGCAAGACCUUCCUCCAAAGGUCGGGCCUCCAUGUAGAGACGGUUGUGCUUGUUAGGGGACUUGCUCAUCACAGUUCUGCAAGACUUCUCAAGAACAGUCUCACGGAAGGACACAACAGGGUCAGACUUAACAAUCUCAGCACCACCCAUGAAAUCAUCCUGCAGAUCCUUCAAACAGAUCUCCAGGUGGAGUUCACCAGCACCAGCAAUGAUGUGCUCCCCAGAUUCCUCAAUACUACAGACCACCAUAGGAUCUGACUUAGCCAAACGCUUCAAACCUUCAACAAGUUUAGGAAGGUCAGAUGCAACUUUGCACUGCACUGCAACACGAACAACAGGUGAGACAGAGAACUUCAUUGCUCUGAUUGGAUGGGCAUCAGACUCCUUCUCAUUGGUCAAUGUAGCAUUCUUAGUGAUGAACUGAUCCAAACCAACCAUAGCUACAGUGUUUCCACAGGGCACAUCCUCAACAGUUUCCUGCCUCUUUCCCAUCCAAAUAACAGUUCUCUGCACACUCUUGACAUACAGAUCCUUCUUCUCACCAGGGACAUAGUUUGGACCCAUGAUUCUUACCUUCAAACCAGUUGAAACCUUGCCAGAGAAAACACGUCCAAAAGCAAAGAAUCUGCCUUUGUCAGAAGCAGGAAUCAUCUUUGAGACAUAGAGCAUGAGAGGGCCUUCAGGAUCACAGUUUCUAAUAGCAGUGGCAUAGAUAUCAUCCAAGGGUCCCUCAUACAAGUUCUCUACACGGUAUUUUUGAGCUGUGGAAG